rnacentral:lncRNA from 1 species
AAUCGCUGAGCUAGGUAUAAAGAAGAAUGUGUUGGAGAGUGAUAAAGGAUCACAAGGGCUAGAGAUGUUUCCAGCGAGAUUUGAUAGGGAUGUGGACUAAGCGAGGAUUUUGGCUAUAUUGGACCCUUGUAAUGUAGUUAUCAACGAAAAGUUAGUUGAUGAUGACCAAGCCCAAGAGGGUGGUGAUGACAAUAUGGCUAUGCCAUGAGGUCUUUGUAAUGUUAUGUUUGACAUAUUUUAUGAUCAGUUGUUGAACUUGUUUUGGUAUUUUGAUAUUAUGUUGCUUAUGGUUGAAAUCGAUUGUUUAGGUCGAAUCAAAUUAAAAAUUUGCUAUUUGUAUUGAACAAUAUUUGCUAACAAAGGCAUGUGUCCAAUUUGUUAGGUUUGUUUGAGUAUGAUUUGAGUAGUGAUUUGCCAUCAUAUAAGCAAAAUUUGGUCGGUAGAUUAUUGAUUGUACCGACUUAUAUGUCAGUUUGCUUAAGUGAGCCAAAGUAAUAGGUUUUGCUCUUAGUGCACGUUAUUGUAGCAUCUAAGUAUAUGAAGAUUAGCAUUGAGCUAUACUUCGGAACUAUAACCAUUCAAAAUAUCAAACUAAAGAUAACUAACAACAAUAUGGAAAAAAUAAUUAUUUUAGAAUUAACAAAUAGGUUAGAUAUUGAUGAUAGAUUUUGCCUCGUUAAAACCUCUCCUGGAAAAACUCAAGUUGGGAUAAAAUCCUGGUAGUAGAAAAAAGAGUACAUCACAUUGUCCUAGCUUAUAACUUACUUGUAGUACAUCUUGAGAGAAGAUAUGUUCCAUGUACUUGGUAGCUCCUUCCCUUCUAGGUUUUGUAGUAUGUAAGCGCCUUUGCUGAUCACUUUAGAGAUGCUUAAUGGUCCUUCCUAAUCCGCGCUUAAUUUGUUGUGACCAUGUGGCUUUCUCAUGUCCUUAAUCUUCCUCAGCACUAAAUUAUUGACAUUGAAAGAGCAAAGAACAACCUUCUUGUUGUACUUCCUCUUCAUGAAUAAUUGCAUGGAUCUUUAUUGGAGCAAUGCGGUGUCCCGAUCUUCCUCGAUCAUAUGGAGCUCUGCUAGUCAAACUACAGAUUUUGUUGUAUUAUUGUAUAGUUUGGUUUGUAGGGACGUAUUUGACACUUCUACCGGUAACAUUGCUUCAGCACCAUACACUAGUCUGAAAGGAGUUUCAUUUGUUGUUGAAUGUGUUGUGGUAACAUAACUCCACAAGACCUCAAGUAUUAUCUCGACACAUCUUCCUUUGGCUUCAUUAAGUUUUUUCUUUAGGGCUUGCAAAAGAACUUUAUUAGUGGCUUUUGCCAACCUAUUUGUUUUGUGGGUGUUCGACAGAGAAAUAAUAUUGCACAAUAUAAUACUGCUGUAAAAAGGCUUUAAAGUUUUUGUCUAUGAAUUGGCAACCGUUAUCUACUAUUAUUUCUUGUGAUAAUCCAUAUCUACAUAUAAUAUUUUUUUCACAUGAAAUAUUGCACUUUUUUCUAUGCUAUUCUGGCCAAUGGUUAGGCCUGUAUCUAUUUGGAGAAAUAAUCUAUAGCUACUAGGAGAUAUUUUAGCUGCCAAGGAGUUGUGGGGAAUGGUUUGAGGAUAUUGAACCCCCACCUUUGGAAAGGCCAACUUACCUUUACAAUGUGCAAUACCUUGCCAGGGUUAUGUACGAUCGGUGAAUGUUUCUGACAAUUGUCACAGUGCUUCACUUUUAAUAAGCAAUCAUGUUUCAUGGUUGGCUAGUAGUAGCCAACCCUCAAUUAUUUAGCUGCUAGGCUUUGUCCACCUAUGUGUGUCCUGCAGACUCUUUGAUGAAUGGUAGAUCGAAUUUCCACACUUCGCACAACUGAACCAGCAAGUGCACUGUGUCAUCCAAGCUAAGUAAUACCUGAGUCUGUCAGGGUCGAUCCCACUACGAUUGUGAUUUGAAGUAAGCUAUGGUUAUCUUAUAGAUCUUAGUCAGGUGGAUAGAAGAGUUGUUGGAUUUGUUUAAACGCAUAAAAUUGGAAUAAGAUGGAAUUACUAUGUUUGAUUAUAACCAGUGAUAAGAAGAUUGUUAAGGCUUGGAGAUGCUUUGCUCGUCUGGAUUAAUUCCGGUCUUACUGUCUUCAUCAACUGUGAAUGAUUUCUUCUAUGGCAGGCUGUAUGUGAUCAACGCCGGUUGAGAGGUAGCCAAUGCUCCUCCAGAUUUGAACCCCAGGGUUAGUGCGGAUCCAUUCUGAUUGAGGGUGAAGCUCCUACAGUUCAUUCUCUUUGGUAAUCCUACUCAAAACACCACAGACAAUGUCAAAUCUUCCGGAUCAAAGGAUGUUGUGCCUUUGGUUCUAGCCUCUACCACAAAGACUCUAAUCUCCCCAUACUUCGGCUGAACUAGUGUUUCGAGAAGUCUCCAACGAAGUCGUGGAUUAGCUGUCUAAGAGAUGUAUAAUCAAGCUAGUGGUUCAUCAUUGUCCGAUGAAAGACUCACUUUGAACCCAUGUAGAAUGAGAUAACCUUGUGCCGGUUCAACGCAUUCAUAUUGAUGAAGAAUGAAGAUACAUCUUAGAAUAGAGAAUCAAACACGGAUUGAAAUAGAACAGUAAUACUUUUAUUAAUCCAUAAAACUCAGCAGAGCUCCUCCCCUCAACCUAGGAGGUUUAGAAACUCAUACUGAUAGAAAUUACAAUGUGAAAAAUGAAAUAUGGCUGAAGAGGUCCUUAAAAGAUGUAAAAGUUCUCAAAUAAAUACUAGACUAAUGACUAAGGAUUACAUAAGAAGGGUAAAACAGUCUUUUAGUGCUAAAAUUCACUUCCAGGGCCCACUUGCUGAGUAUUUGGGCUGAGCUUGAUUGAGAUCCACAUGCUAGGAAGCUCUUUGGGUGUUGAACGCCUGCUUGAGGGUCCUUUUUGGGUGUUGGACACUGGUCUCUUCUCCCUUGGGCAUUGGACGCCAAAAUAGGGCAAGAGGCUGACGUUGAACGCUAGUUUUAGGCCUUCAAUUCUGAAGCAAAGUUUGAACGAUUAUAUAUUUCUGGAAAUCCCUGGAUGUUAGCUUUUCAUAGCCGUUGAGAACGCUCCAUUUGAACUUCUGUAACUCUAGAAAAGCUCUUUCGAGUGCAAAGAGGUCAGAUCCGGACAUCAUCUGCAGCACUUUCUCUGUCUCUGAAUCAGACUUUUGCUUCAACUCCUCAAUUUCAACCAGAAAAGACCUGAAAUUGCAUAAAAAUACACAAACUCAAAGUAGAAUCCAAAAAUGUAAAUUUUGCACUAAAACCUAUAAAACUUAAUAAAACUUAAAUAAAACAUACUAAAAACUAUAUGAAAAUGAUGUCAAAAAGCGUAUAAAAUAUCCGCAUCCGCUCAUCAAUGAACUUCAUCCAUUAAUUGUUCAGCCUCAGUCGGAAUCAAGCAUAGGAGUAACGAUUGAGAAAAUCAUCUUCUAUAUAAUUUUUCACCUAUUAUGGUGAAAAAACUUGCAUGUAUUUUAAAAGAUCGGUUAUCUAUGACCCAUUGGUGGAAUUGAACCUGUACGCAAGCAUAUGAUAUAUGGUAUUCUCUAGUCUGGUACCUAUGAUAUAUCCACUACAGAUACAAUAUUUAUACUGGAUUCAGCUAAUGUUAGUUGUGAUAAAAUUGGUGUCAUAUCAUGUUUCCUAGUUGUGACCAACUUAGACAAUCCAUCAACUCGGCUGUCAUGUUCAUGAGGUAUCUGUGUAAUUUCAAAAUGACUAAAAAGGAAAUAAAAAUUUUAACCAAUUGGAGAUAUUAUUGUUCUAGGAGAUUGUCUCGUAUUUGAUAGUUACCUAUUACUUUCUGGACUUCUAGUAGUGAGUCACAACGUAAUGUGAUAUUGUCAAUGUUGAGUUUUUUGGCCAAUCUUAACUCAGCGAGUAAUACCUCGUACUCAGCUUGGUUAUUACUAGCUGAGAAGGAAAAUUGCAGUGAUUGCUCCACAACUAGUCCAUCAUCAUUUUGCAAGACGAUACCUGCUCGAGAACCUUCAGUAUUGGAAGCACCGUCAACAUGUAGUGUCCAUCUAGGGAUAUCAGGCUCGUUAGUCAGGGAUGUAAACUCAACUAUGAAGUUAGCUAAAAUUUGUGACUUCAAGGCACGACGUGUUUGAUAUCUGAUGUCAAAUUCGGAAAGUUCUAUGGACCAUUUAAUUAGUCGGCGAGCGACCUCUAGUUUUGUUAGAAUUUGUCUUAGCGGGUUAUCUCUUCGGACGAUUAUUGUAUGACUCUAAAAAUAAAGUCAUAAUUGCCUGGCUUUGUAUGGCUAGAACAACUUAGCAUUUAUCCAAAUCUGCCUCAAUACCUUUGGACGUGAGCAUGAAUCCUAAAAAAUUCUCGCUUUGCACUCCAAAAGCAUGUUUCUCUGAAUUUAACCUCAUGUUAUAUUGGCAGAGUUGAUGGAAUUUUAGGUAAUUCAUCAUAGUGAGAUCCUCCAUGUGAGGGUUUGGUGACCAUAUUGUCUACGUACACUUCUAUGUUUCUGCCUAAUUGAUGCUAAAAAACCUUAUCCAUGAGGCGUUGAUAUGUGACAUCUGCAUUCUUAAGACCAAAAGUCAUAACCUUAUAGGAAAAAUUACCUUGUUCAGUUAUAAAAUAUGUUUUAUCUUGGUCAUCAGGGUACAUUAGUAUUUGGUUAUAACCGGAAUAGGCAUCCAUAAACUUAAAGUAACAAAACCUGAUAUGUUGUCACCAGUUUAUCGAUGCAUGGCAUAUGAUAUGCAUCCUUUGGGCAUGCCUUGUUGAGAUCGAUAAAAUAGAUGCACAUGUACCAUUUUCCUGAAUUUUUCUUCACCAAAACUACAUUUGCUAACCAGAUGGUGAAUCUGAUCUCUCUCACAAGCCUUGCGUCCAGUAAUUUCCUCAUUUCUUACUGAGCUACCACCUUUUUCUCGGUUUCUAGAUUCUUUUUUGUGGGCUAUAGGCCACGUCAGGGGGUUGAUUUCUAGCUUGUGGUUGAUAACAUUUAGGUAUAUACUUGGCAUGUUAGCAGGCAUCCAGGAGAAUAGAUCCACAUUUCUCUAAAGUAAGUUCGCAAGUUGUUGUUUCUAACCUGCACUCAUAGUAUUGCCAAUGUAUGUAAAUUUGUUAGAAUAAUCAUAUAAUGGUACCUUUUCUAAAGCUUUCAUAGGGGUCGAUCUUUCUUGGAUGUCCGCACGAGGGUCAAGCUCGGAUAAUAAUGGCAUAUUCUCUAAGUUAUAAAUAGCAUUGAGAUAAGGGAUUAGUGAAGGGCGAGUUCAGGAUGGGACCAUCUUUAGACUUGCAUUAUAAUAUUGCGUUGCUUCAUAUUGGUUAGUGUGCACAGUUUCUAUGACAUUACCCUACAUAGAAAACUUAACAUAGAGAUGAAGGGUGAUUAUUAUACGCUAGAUACGUUUGAUAUGCAAUAUACUUGUCCAAUAGUCCUUGUUGAGCUACUUUUUCCAAAAGGUCUUUAGCCAUUGCACAGUCGUCCAUAGUAAGAUCGAACUUCUGAUGAAAUGUGUAAUACUUAGAUUUUUCCGCAUGUUUCUAAUCCUGGUAUGUGCCAGCUUUCCGGGGAGGUUUGAUGAUCUUUGCAUGGAGGAUUUCUUUGAUAAUAUCUUCUUGUUUGGUGUUAAAUCGAGUGUAGAUAUCAAAACAUGUUGGCUUGAAAGGCUUCUUAUUGUCGUGAAGUUCAUAAUGUUUAUUAUAUUUGUCCUCCUCCCGGUUUGAGGCUUGUCUCUCUGACUUUCGAGCUUGUUGAAGCUCCUCUAUCUCCAUCUGACCAACCGCUUUCUUCCUGAAUUCUGAAAUUUGCUAUCAUUUUCUGAAAUUUGCUAAGGCACAAUCCACUUUUGAGAUUGUGUAGGUGUACAUCUUGAGUGAGGUUCAGUAUUUCUAUGACUACCUUAGCGAACCUCGUCAUGUAGUCGUUAAGACUCUCGAGUCGUCUUUGCUUGAUAGUGCUCAAGUAAUUUGUGUCGUGCACAUAUAUUUUGGAAGCAGCAGAAUUGUUGAUGAAACGAUCAGCAAAUUCAUUAAAAUUAGAUAUGGAACUUGCUGGCAAAGAAGAGAACCAAUUCAAAGCAGUACCAUCUGAAAAUGUAGGAAAAGAUUGACAAAAUAUUGGAUUAGAAGCACCAUUCAAUAACAUCAUAAAGUGAAAUUUUGGAAAUAUGGACAUUGGGAUCUCCCAGUCCAUCAUAGAGUUUUAAAGUUAUUGGAAGAGUGAAGUUUUUUGGACAUUUUAAAGUUCAUGAUCUCAGCUGAGAAGGGAUUAGGUCUCUGUCACUUUUGUUGAAGUGACUUUCACCGUGGUAUUAGCUUCCGAAGCAUGAUCAUCACGAUUGUCUUUGUCAUUGGGAUUCUUUUGUUCCUCUUCGUCGCUUCUACCGUUCUUCUUUUGGUUCAAAAGCACAGUCACUCUCUGGAUCUCGGCUCGCAAUGACUCAUUUAUAGACAAUAGUUUGGCCUGAUUCAGAGGAGAAGAAGGAUUUUGCUCUUUCACCAUCAGUCAAAAUCCACAAAAGAGAGUAAGACACAAAAAAUGUAAAGGAAGGAUGGUAGUACAAUUCGAAGAAACUUCUGCCCACGGUGUGUGCCAAUGUUUUUGCACAAUAAGUUUUCUGAGAUCAUAUAGCUCGUCCUGAUAAAGUAGGUCUGAAACCUUCUUGAAGGGUGAGGUAUACGUCAACUUUAGGUGACCAGGUGGCGGUGGGUACUUGCACAGGCACCCUAAUACUCAAGUAAAAAAGAGUCUAUAUUGAGUAAUCGAAUCUCAAAAUAAGUCACGUACCUCUUUUCUUUAUUCAGGUUCUUACUUAAAUAGGAAGCUAGGAUUCCGAACGUGCCCUUGUGUUCAGUUAUUUCUUUGACAUAAUCUUUGUAAGUUUGCUAUAGUUGUUAUCCAAAAAGGUCUUCCAUUAUCUCUUAUUGAUAACCAAGUUAUACACGUUUGUAUUUGGAACUCUUACACUAAAAUCAACUAAGCGACCGAUUGAUAGGGUGUGACUUAUAAAGUAUAACGGACGAAUCAACAACAACAACAAUAAUAAUAAUAAUAACAAUAAUAAUGAUGCCGUCACACACAUAAACAAAAUAAUAAUAACUUCCCCCUCACCUUCAUCAUUAUAACAAUAAUAAUAGUUUUUUCCUUUACUUCACCUUUCUUUCACCAUUACAAUAAUAAUAUCCUCUGCACAAUGAAAUUGUAAAAUACGAACUUUUGUUUAUUUGACUUCACAAAUCAUCACUUGUGAUUUCUACUAAAUCCUGAUUACGUAGUCAUAUUUUAGUAUUACAUCAGUGUAUCUCAAUAUUACAAUAUUUCACUCAUUUUAUAAUCUUAUUAAAAAUAAUUAACGCAUGUUUGUAUGCAUGACUGCAUCAAUGACUUUGCCUUUGCAUACCUUGUCUUUGCCUAGACUAUUCUUAGGAUAAUUCAUUAUUUCAUUUAGCAUAUUGUGGUGCUUAUAUUAGACCUUUUACGUUUUCAUUUAGUUUAUAGACAUACAUAAGGCCUAUUUAUACAAUUUUUUAAGGUAUCUUUUUUGUUUUUAAUUUUUAUACUAUAUAAUAUAAAUAAAAAAAUGCUAUUUGUACACUAAAAUCAGCCAUUAAAAUCAACCACCACUGUAUUUUUUUUUUACCGAAGAUAUGGAGACUCGAACCCGCAACCUCUUAGUUGAGUAUGGGGAGACUAUGCCAUUUGAGCUAUUGCUUCUUGGCAACCACCAAUGUAUUUGUGUAUAAAUACAUGUGUGAUUUAAUUUAUUUUCAAUAUGUAUUUGUAUUCCAACAUGUAUUUUAUACUGGUAGCUGAAUUUGGUGUACACGUAGCAUAACUCAAUAUAAAUACAAAAAGUAAGGUCUACAUUUUUUCUCUUUCACUUUUUAGACAAAUUAAACACCAAUUCUUUAGGUAUUAUAGAAUUUUUUUUAAAAAAUUCAUAUAUGGGUCCAAAUGAAGAAGAAAAAGGAAAAGUAAAAAAAAUUAAAUGACAUUUAAUAAACUUUAAAUUCUAAAUGUAAUAUUUAAAUUUUUAAAAAUAUUAUGUAUAUACUACAACAAAUCAGCUACAAUAUAUUUAUGUAUAAAUACAUAUAUUGCUUAACAAAAAUAUUAUGUAUACAAUCAAAUUAGUGACUAAAAUAAGCCACCAUGUAUUUAUAUAUAAAUACAUAUACUGUUUAACUCAAUUCAAUGUAUAUUUUGUAUUCUAACGUAUAUUUUAUACUAGUAAUUGAUUUUGAUGAUUGAUUUUAGUGUACAUCUAAUAUGAUUGUUUCUUUAAUUUAUUUCAUUAUGUAUUGAAAAUGAGUUAAAUGUAUUUAUAUACUGUUCUAGCUAUUGAGGAAUGCUUCCGAUGUAUAGCUGAGGUUUGGAUGAUCUGUCGAUUUCUCGGCGUCAAUAAUACACGUUGACUUUUUCAGAACACAGAACGCGAAUGGUACCUUCAAAAAGUACUCUGACACUCAAGCCAAUGAGUAAUUCAAAUUUCAAAUAAUAUUAUGUUAUUAGAGUUUUCUCCUUUUUUCAAUGUGUCAUUCUAUUUUUCGAUCCUAUCUUUAUAGGCGAUAAUGCUUAUUUGUAUCUAUUCCCUAAUAUAUUGCACAUAUUCAAGCUGAUAGAAUCUUGCUAUUGAUGUUAAGUUAGGUAUCUUUUUGACUUUGGUCUCCUUUUAUCGUUUCAUGUAUUCUUCCUUUUAAAAUUGGUAGUUUAAGUGAUUGUUAUAUAGAAUGUGUGUAUGUUAUUUUUUUAACAAAGAAAGCUCAACACACUAAAGUGGAGCGACUCAAAGAAAAAGACACAUACAACAAAAGUAAAAGGAACACAAAUACGACCAAUCCAUUGUCAUCUCCGGCAUUGCCAUCAACAACCAAAUGGAUCAGCACCACACCACUCCUUAUAGUUCAACAAUGACCUCAUUUUAUUUUCCUCAAUGCUACCCUCUUUAUUCUUAAAUAUUCUCGUAACCAGAUAUUCCAAAUUACUGCAAAGAAUCCAAUUAGCCACUUUUUCUGCUCAUCUUUUCUGUCAGACACUCUUGUCCAACUCUCAAACAGUUCUUUGAUCGUAGCUGGAAUAACCCAAGCUCUAUCAAAGUAUGUCAACCAUGCGCAUCACACCUGCCAAGUUAACUCAUAGCAAAGAAACAAAUGAUGAACAAAUUCUACAUCAUUUUUACACAGAAUACAAGUAUUAUCAUUUUGAUAAAUGACUCCUAAUUUACUCAAUCUCUUUUUGGUAUUCACCAUUCUCAUUAAAAUAAACCAUAUAAAAUUCUCAAUUCUUGGCGGGAUCAAGCCUCUCCAAAUUGAACUAGUGAAGGUAUAACUUGUGACUUCCUCCAAAAUAGUCUCUGUCUAUAACACCUACACAAAAUAGUUAGUAGAGAAAAAUACUUUUUUUUAAUUUUUACACCACUCUGUCCUCUCUACUAGUUGAUAAUUUAAUUGGCCUUAACCUUUCAUGAAGUUGGUGGACAAGUGCCAACUCCCAUUGGAACAACUCUAUCCUCCAAUAGAAAUUCUAUAUCUACUUUAACACAUCCCAAAACUCACAAUCUCUUAUAACAGAUCCUUGUUGGUUUGAAACAGAGAAAAGUCUCAAAAAAUUCCCUUUCAAGGGCCCACCUUGUAACCAAUUAUCUUUCCAAAAUCGAGUUCUUCUCCCAUCGCCUAUUUCCAUAGACAGCCCACUAAUCAUCUUGUCUUUCACCUGUUGCUCCUUCAAAUUUAACUAAUAGAUAUCAUUCCACAAACUACCUCUUGAAGGUAGUAGCUGAUUUGAUAACAAUAUAUUGGGAUUUAAAUUAUUACAAGAACAUACAAUUUUCUUCCACAAUAGACAAUCCUCCUUUGAAAAAUGCCACUACCAGUUAAACAGAAGCGUUGUAUUCUUAAUCACCGCAUCCCCCACCCCUAAUCCACCUAGCAGUUUUGGCGCCUACACCACUUCCUAUUUUACAAGAGGCAUACCAUUAUUUUCCAUCCUCUUUACUGCAUAAAAAUCUCCUUUACAAUGUAAUCAACUUCUCUGCAACCCCUUUAGCAUCUUAUAUAAGCUAAGAUAGUAGACUGGCAAGCUAUUAAGCAUAGACUUGAUAAGAACUAACUUUCUGGCUUUGUUAAGUACCAUUGCUUUCCAAAGACUGAGCUUCUCUUCCACAUUAUCUAUAAUCAGUUUUUAGGUCUUCACCAGCUAAGGAUUUGCUCCUAAGGAAAUUCCAAGGUAUUUCACAGGUAGAACAACUUCCGUACAUUCUAGUAACUCACACAUAUUUGUCACCCACUCUGGCUCACAAUUAACCGAAAUCAAAUUUGACUUGUCAAAGUUAAUACUCAAGCCAGACAUGAGUUUAAAACAUCAUAGGAGCCUCUUAUAGUUCAAAAUUAUCUCUGUCUUUAGUGGACAAAACAAAAUAGUGUCAUCUGCAAAUUAAAGAUGUGACAAUUCUAUAUUGUUUCUUCCGACAUAUACUCAGGUUUUGAAAUUCUGUUUUACCGAGGAUAAAGGUAUGGAUCAUAUGCAAAUAAGGGGUGUCUAAUUUUUAUUUUGCAUAGUAUCUUUUAUGUAUAUUUUAUAUUUUAACAUGUACUUUAUACAAAUAUUUAAUUUAAUUACUACUUUUUAUGCAUGCAUAAUUUUCUUUUCUUCUGAAGAAAAAAUUAAUGAGUUCAAUCCAAAAGCACUAAAAGAAUAAAAAGUAAUAAUAUCGUUAAACAAGAAAUUAACUUAGAUGCAUUAAUCAUUAUUAAUCAAGAUGAAAUAACAUAACAUAUAUGAUUAAUUACUACUGUAAAAAUGAAGCAAGCACAAUAUUACAAAAAGUUGUCACAGCUAGUUUAGAUAAUGACCGUUGCUAAGAAUAGGUCUCCUAGUAAGUAAGCCUGUUAACCGUAUAGUUCUUAAAUGAAUAAUUUAAAUCUGCAUCAUUUUGUAUACAAAUAGAUAAUACUAUCAAUAAUGAAAGAUCAUGCCUAUGAAAUAUGGAAUAUUAACGAAGAAAUUCAAAGGUGUAGUACAAAUUACAUGGCUCUUAGAAGAUAAGGGCUCAUAAAAAAAGCCAAUCUCUACUGAGAGAUAGAAAGAUUAGGUCUCUAAUCGAUAUUUGUAUAUAAAAAACAUAAAUAUGACAAAGUGAGUUUUGCAACUCAGUUUUGAAUAAACAAUAUAUCCAUAACCUACAUGAGAAAAUACAAAUUAUAUCAAAAUAAAUCAUGAGUUCAAUAUCCAUAUAAAAAUUAAAAGGGAGUUCAUAAUUUUUAAAAACACACUAGGUGGCUCCACCUCUUUGGGUAGCCCUUUUAUCUAAUGUGUCAGAGUGAAUUAACAGCUCUAACGUGUGGCCUAUACAUCAGGCUAGUAUCACCCAUACUAGCUGAGGUCUGAGCGAGAUGUAUCCAUGACUAACGUUAUUGUCAUUAGCUACGGUUUUUCUAAUUAGAAUCUCCCAAAAUUAUUCAAAACAUAGGGCAUUAUUUCAUAUUUAAAAAAUACCAAAUCUGAUAAUAAAUAAAUAGAUCUUAACUUUGAAUAAUACUUAUAUGGUAUUUCAAACAUAUAAAAAGAUGUAUUUUUAAGGGUAAAAUGCAUAAAUAAACCAAAUACAACCCUAUACUACACAAAUCACCAAAACCAGAAAAAGUUACGUUGAUCUACCAAAUGGGUGUAUCUAUGUAAAUCGAAUAAGGCUUGUUCGAUUUACAAAUUUUUCUACUAAAUCGAGCCAACCCAAAUCGAAUUACGUUGAAAACAUGCAAAUCAAAGCAGGGUGAAUCGAAUUAUGCAUGCAUGUAACAUAUCAUAGUAAAUCGAAUCACAUUGUAUCGAUUUAUGCAUGCACGUGAUUCAGCUAGUAAAUCGAAUCACAUUGUAUCGAUUUACCCAAGGUUUUGCAUGCAUAUAAUUUGAAUGGGGUUGAUUCGAAUUACUAGGCAUGGAGCUAUAGGAAUAAAUUGAAUUUGGGCAAUUCGAUUUAGUGGACCAUAUCCUAUAUAAAUAUGAUCUGAAUGCAAAUUCUUUAUGAUGAGAGUGAAACACAAUGGCUAGUGAGGAAAAUUUUUUAGUGUUGGUGCACUAUAGAGGGUCGAUAAAGAAAACAACACGUUCGGGAAUUAAGUUUAUUGAUAAGGAACCCCUUAGUGUUUCCCUGAAACCUUCAAUGAGCUUCACUGAGUUCCUGAAUUCUAUAAUCCAAAAACUGAGGUUGCAAGGUGUGAAACGGGUUGAGAAGUUAUUCUAUAGGAUUUUGAGUUUAGUUUUGCGGGAUGAUAUGAAAUACGAUUCGUUCGUCAUGGGGAGUGACGAAGAUUUGCAAGUUUUGUACCAUUGUCAUCGGUAGUUUCCCGAGGUCAGGACCCCUGAGCUGUUGGCCAAGCUUGUAGAUAUGGUCUCCAGCUCAAGAGGUUCGAACCGGAAUCUCCAACCUCUAGCAAUGGCAACCUGUUCUAGUUCGAGGCCUGUUGGUGUCUCUUCAUUCGUGCCUGUGAUUGCACCUGAGGCAAUGUUAGUUGCCUCUCCAUCCUUCGCAACUGACCUUGUCCGCAGUCGUCAAGGAGAAGUAGUGAUACUACGAAUGUCGGUAUUACUGAUACGACACCGGUUUCAUUACAGGGUGGAGCACCAGAUUGUGUGGACGAUGUAUUGCGGGAUGAUGAUGACGAUGAUGAUGUGGAUCCAGACACAAUUGCUAAUGAUAGUGGUGAUGACAUUGUAGGGAGUAAUGUAGUUGGGGUCGUGGAGCGUCUAGUUUAGGAACUCAACAGUACCCCCCGCACUUUUCAACUUUGGACUUGGAUGCCAUGAGACAGCAGGGGGUUCCUGACGUACCUAUCAGAUUUGGGGCUAGAGAUACACGGGAUAUUGGAGGAAUAGUGGAGUUUCAGGUUAGUCAGCAGUUUCAGGAUAAAUAGGAGGCCGUGUUAAGCGUGAAGAGCUAUAGUAUCUGAUGCGGGGUUCAAUACAAAGUUGUGGAGUCCGAUUGUCGCAAGUACUAUGGAAAGUGUAAGGAAUUUGGCAACGGGUGCACAUGGUUGAUUCGAAUCAGUCUCCGCCAACGCAGAGGUAUUUGGGAGGUAAAAUGGUACAAUGGACCUAUGCUUGUCUGGCCACAUCGAUAUCAAGUAAUCAUAGGAGUCUUGAUUAUCAUGUGAUCUCGGCAUUNNNNNNNNNNNNNNNNNNNNNNNNNNNNNNNNNNNNNNNNNNNNNNNNNNNNNNNNNNNNNNNNNNNNNNNNNNNNNAAUGUAACAUAAUGUAACACCCUUACUUUUAGCACCUCAUGAUCGUAAUAAAGGUUCAAGCAUUACUUACCUCUAAUCCAUUAAUUUCAUAUUAUAAUUAUUUAAUAUUGAGCCUUUGCAAAUAAAAACCGAAUCCUUAGUUACGAAAUCAAAAAGCCUUUACUUUAAUUCACUUAAUCACACAAUUAUAUCAACACAAUAAUAAAUACAUAGAAAUAUUCAAAACUCAAAAUACAAGUCCUGCCCCUCUGAAAUCUCAAAAUGAUAAUUGACGAGGGGUAAAAUCUUAACUAAACCAUCAAACAGAAAAUACAACAUAUAUAUAAAUCUUGUAGAUCAGUUGCGGCUUCACGCCAACACUUCCUGAACUUGUUAUUGAAAAGAAAUCCUGUAGGGGGUGACAGCAUCGUCCUCGCAGGUUCUCAGUAGGGAUGGGAAUACCAUCAAAGCAAAGAAACACUUGCAAAUAGAAUAAUUUUCAUUAUAAAAACAGAUUACCCUUGAAAUAAUCUUUUGGAAAAGCUUUGCAGAAAAUCUUACUUUAAAAGGUCGUAAAGAAACUUUUUUAAUUUACAAACCCAGCAGGGGAAUAGUUUAAAGGAAAAAAGAACCAAAGACAUGCCCGAGGGCUUUCUACCCCAUGACUUACCCCACAUAAAUCCAAAACUGGGUAUAACUACAACAUACACACUCAAGCUUUUAUCCAACAUUUCACGCAGCUUAUCUCUUUUCAUUUACACAGUCUAUCUGCAUAUAACUUAGCAAUUCAUCAUUAAAACUCAGUUUUCAACAAACAUCCCAUCAUCAACAUCAAGAACAACCCUCAGCGUCACCAUCGUCAGCAUGAGGGAUCUCUCAGUUGUCAAACACAGACAAGACAAAGCAAAGCAUACACAAUUAGAGAGUACAGAUAGAGCAAUUAAGUCAAUUAGCAGAUACAUGCAAUUAUUCAAUUAGGCAAACCCACAAACAAGAUUCACACCCAAACAAUACACACAAAUGCAAAUGAUGCAUGUCUGCCCUAUGGCCGAUGAUAUCAUCUGUCGGUUAUAUAGCUAACUGAUAACCCCCGAUUUCGUGGUUUAUCUUGUGCCUAUUUUAGGGGAUUUUACCACCUUUUCCCACAUUUAUUCAAUGAAAUAGCAUGGUUUUGUAAUUCUUCCUUGAAUUGUGCUUAAGUGUAAAAACAUAUUUUUAGGCCUUAAAUUGGUGAUUUUGAUUCACUUUAAUUCCAUUCAAUGCCUUGAUGUGUUUGUUGAGUGAUUUCAGGUUCAUAAGGCAAGUAUUGGAUGGAAGAAAUGAGGAUAAAAGCGUGCAAAGUGGAGAAUGCAUGAAGAAACAAAGAUUGAGAAUGCAUCAAUGGACGCGCACGCGCAGAAGUGGUUUCGCAUAGAGACGUGCACGCGUACAUGACGCGUCUGCGCGGAUGAAGAAUUUUCCAAUCGACGAGCACGCGCACAUGGCGCGUACGCGCCGAUACUCUCACGUGGCCCACUUAAAGGCAAAACGUUGGGGGCGAUUUCUGAAGCACUUUGGGCCCAACCCAACUCAUUUCUGAUGCAAUUUCAUGCAGAAUUCGAGCUUGGGCAAGAGGGGAGCAAUUGUUUGUAGUUUUGGCAUCAUGUAGGUUAAUUUCUAGAGAGAGAAGCUCCAUCUUCUCUCUAGAAUUAGGUUAGUUUAAUUUCUUCUAGAUCUAGGUUCAAUCUCAUCUUUUCAUCUUGUUUCCUUUAUGAUUUCUUGCUUUUACACUUUCAUUCUCUUAGUUUAUGAUGUUAAUUUCCCUUUUACGCUCUCUUUUAGGUUCAUGGAUGCUUAUGUUGGAUUUAGAUCCCUUUUAAUGAAAUUUAAUGUUUGAUGUUCUUUUAAUUGAUGAUUUAAGUUGUUGAUUUACUUUCCUUGUAAUUUGUAGUUGGUAGAUUUAUGAUUCUUGCAAUUUAUGACGUUUACUUUUCUUGCACUCUAGAUGUUUGAUAAAAUAUUUUCUCUAGUUUUUGAGUAGUUCUCUUGACUCUUGGCCUAGGCUAAGGGAAUUGAGUGACCUUGAGUCAUUGGGUCUCAUUGAAUUGGUGAUUUGAGAACCCUUGGUGAUCAAUUUGAUACUCAUUGAUGCCAACCCACUACUAAUCUAAUUAGUAGGUAGGUUGGGACUUAUGGGUUGAUGUGAUCAAGCCUAUUUGACGUACUUCAAGCCUAGGAGUAGAUAUUACGUACUUAAGGUUUUGGAAGUAGACUUAAUAGGUUGGCCUCUCAUAAUUAUCAACAUAUGGUUUGUAGACAAGGAUGGUGAUCUCAAUUACCUAUGUCUAGCCAAGAGCUCUUUUUCCUUUAUUUUAUUAGUUCUUGUCAUUUUACCUUAUUGUCAUUUACUUUUUUUUGUCAAACUAUAAAAUCAAACCCCCAUUGCAUCUUCAUAGCCAAUAAUUGACCACUUCAUUGCAAUUCCUUGUGAGAGGAUGGUGCACGAAAUUGUGAUCAUCAAUGGUGCCAACAACUUGGUACGCACAAUUGUAAUCUCAACUCCUUGUCACAACUCCGCACAACUAACCAGCAAGUGUACUGGGUCGUCCAAGUAAUAAACCUUACGUGAGUAAAGGUCGAUCCCACGGAGAUUGUCGGCUUGAAGCAAGCUAUGGUCAUCUUGUAAAUCUCAAUCAGGCGAAUUCAAAUGGUUAUGGAUAAUUGAUAAUUAAAAGAUGAAUAAAAUAUAAAAUAGGAUAGAGAUACUUAUGUAAUUCAUUGGUGAGAAUUUCAGAUAAGCGUAUGAAGAUGCUUUGUUCCUUCUGAAUCUCUGCUUUCCUAUUGCCUUCUUCCAAUCAUUGAUACUCCUUUCUAUGGCAAAGUUAUGUUGGGUUUCACCAUUGUCAAUGGCUACCUCCCGUCCUCUCAGUGAAAAUGGUCCAAAUGCACUGUCACCGCACGGCUAAUCAGCUGUUGGUUCUCGAUCAUGUUGGAAGAGGAUCCAUUGAUCCUUUUGCGUCUGUCACUACGCCCAACACUCGCGAGUUUGAAACUCGUCACAGUCAUCCCUUCCCAGAUCCUACUCGGAAUACCACAGACAAGGUUUAGACUUUUCGGAUCUCAAGAAUGCUGCCAAUUGAUUCUUGCCUAUACCACGAAGACUCUGAUCUCAUGGAAUGGAAGGCCCUCGGUUGUCAGGCGAGGCAACCAUGCAUCAUGAACCAGGAGGCUAAGAGAUACACACUCAAUCGAAGGUAGAACGGAGGUGGUUGUCAGGCACGCAUUCAUAGGUGAGAAUGAUGAUGAGUGUCACGGAUCAUCACAUUCAUCAGGUUGACGUGCGAGUGAAUAUCUUAGAAAAGAAAUAGGCUUGAGUUGAAUAGAAAAACAAUAGUACUUUGCAUUAAUUCAUGAGGAACAGUAGAGCUGCACACCUUAAUCUAUGGGGUGUAGAAACUCCACCGUUGAAAAUACAAAAGUGAUAAUGGUGAUCAUUGGCUUCGGCCCCAGAGAGGGAACCAGAAGAACCAAGAUGAAAAUACAAUAGCAAAAGGUCCUAUUUAUAGAGAACUAGUAGCCUAAGGUUUACAGAAAUAAGUAAAUGAUGCAGAAAUCUUCUUCCGGACCCACUUGGUGUGUGCUUGGGCUGAGCAUUAAAGCUUUCAUGUGUAGAGACUUUUCUUGGAGUUAAACGCCAGCUUUUGUGCCAGUUUGGGCGUUUAACUCCAGCUUUUAUGCCAGUUCUGGCGUUUUUACGCCAAAAUUUUUAUGCUGACUUGGAACGCCGGUUUGGGCCAUCAAAUCUCAGGCAAAGUAUGGACUAUCAUAUAUUUCUGGAAAGCCCAGAUGUCUACUUUCCAACGCAAUUAAGAGCGCGCCAAUUGGGCUUCUGUAGCUCCAGAAAAUCCACUUCGAGUGCAGGGAGGUCAGAAUCCAACAGCAUCUGCAGUCCUUUUUCAGCCUCUGAAUUAGAUUUUUGCUCAGGUCCCUCAAUUUCAGCCAGAAAAUAUCUGAAAUCAUAGAAAAAUACACAAACUCAUAGUAAAGUUCAGAAAUGUGAUUUUUAUUUAAAAACUAAUAAAAAAUAAUAAAAACUAACUAAAAUAUACUAAAAACAUACUAAAAACAAUGCAAAAAAGCAUAUAAAUUAUCCGCUCAUCACAACACCAAACUUAAAUUGUUGCUUGUCCCCAAGCAACUGAAAAUAAAAUAGGAUAAAAAGAAGAGAAUAUACUAUAAAUUCCAAAAUAUUAAUGAAAUUUAGCUCCAAUUAGAUAAGCGGGACUAGUAGCUUUUUGUUUCUGAACAGUUUUGGCAUCUCACUUUAUCCAUUGAAGUUUAGAAUGAUUGGCAUCUAUAGGAACUCAGAAUUUAGAUAGUGUUAUUUGAUUUUCCUAGUCCAGUAUGUUGAUUCUUGAACACAGUUACUUUAUGAGUCUUGGCCGUGACCCUAAGCAUUUUGUUUUCCAGUAUUACCAUCGGAUACAUAAAUGCCACAGACACAUAACUGGGUGAACCUUUUCAGAUUGUGACUCAUCUUUGCUAGAGUCCCCAAUUAGAGGUGUCCAGAGCUCUUAAGCACACUCUUUUUUUGCUUUGGACCACGACUUUAACCGCUCAGUCUCAAGCUUUUCACUUGACACCUUCAUGCCACAAGCACAUGGUUAGGGACAGCUUGGUUUAGCCGCUUAAGCCAGAAUUUUAUUCCUGUGGGCCCUCCUAUCCACUGAUGCUCAAAGCCUUGGAUCCUUUUUUUUUGCCCCUUGCCUUUUGGUUUAAAGGGGUACUGGCUUCUUCUGCUUGCUUUUUCUCUUUUUUUUUUCUUUCUUUUUCUUUUAUUUUUUCGCCUUCUUUUUUUUUCCACAAGCUUUUCACUACUUUUUCUUGUUUCAAGAAUCAAUUUAAUGAUUUUUUAGAUUAUCAAUAACAUUUCUCCUUUUUCUUUAUUCUUUCAAGAGCCAACAAUUUUAAAAUUCAUAAACAACAAAUUCAAAAGAUACAUGCACUGUUCAAGCAUUCAUUCAGAAAACAAAAAGUAUUAUCACCACAUCAAAAUAAUUAAACUAAUUUCAAGGAUGAAUUCAAAAUCAUGUACUUCUUGUUCUUUUGUAAUUAAAACAUUUUUCAUUUAAGAAAGGUGAUAGAUUCAUAGGACAUUCAUAUCUUUAAGGCAUAGACAAUUAGACACUAGUGAUCAUGUAAUAAGACACAAACAUAAAUAAAACAUAAAGCAUAAUUCGAAAAACAGAAAAAUAAGAACAAGGAAAUUAAAGAACGGGUCCACCUUAGUGAUGGCGGCUUGUUCUUCCUCUUUAAGAUCUUAUGAAGUGCUUGAGCUCCUCAAUGUCUCUUUCUUGCCUUUGUUGCUCCUCCCUCAUGACUCUUUGGUCUUCUCUAAUUUCAUGGAGGAGGAUGGAAUGCUCUUGGUGCUCCACCCUUAGUUGUCCCAUGUUGGAACUUAAUUCUUCUAGGGAGGUGUUGAUUUGCUCCCAAUAGUUUUGUGGAGGAAAAUGCAUCCCUUAAGGCAUUUCAGGGGUUUCAUGAUGAGGAAUUUCCUCAUGCACUUGUCCAUAAGUAGGAUCUCUUGUUUACUCCAUCCUUUUCUUAGUGAUGGGCUUGUCCUCAUCAAUGGGGAUAUCUCCCUCUAUGUCAAUUCCAACUGAAUUGCAGAGGUGACAAAUGAGAUGAAGGAAGGCUAACCUCGCCAAAGUGGAGGACUUGUCAGCCACCUUGUAGAGUUCUAGGGAUAUAACCUCAUGAACUUCUACUUCCUCUCCAAUCAUGAUGCUAUGGAUCAUGAUAGCCCGGUCUAUAGUAACUUCAGACCGGUUGCUAGUAAGAAUGAUUGAGCGUUGGAUGAACUCCAAACAUCCCCUAACCACAGGCUUGAGGUCAUGCCUUCUUAGUUGAAUGCCAUCCUUACAUUUUCCGGACUAAAAUCUAAGCAUUUUCCCCGAACUAUUGUAAGCCAAUUCUUUGGAUUCGGGUUCAUACUUUGAUCAUGGUUCUUAGUGAUCCAUGCGUUUGCAUAGAACUCUUGAACCAUUAAGAUUCCGACUUGUUGAAUGGGGUUGGUGAGAACUUCCCAAUCUCUUCUUCAAAUCUCAUGUCGGAUCUCCGGAUAUUCGCCCUUUUUGAGCUUGAAAGGGACCUCGGGGAUCACCUUCUUCUUGGCCACAACUUCAUAGAAGUGGUCUUGAUGCACCCUUGUGAUGAAUCUCUCCAUCUCCCAUGACUCAGAGGCGAAAGCUUUUUCCUUCCAUUUCCUCUUUCUAGAGGUUUCUCCAGCCUUAAGUGUCAUAAAUGGUUAUGGAAAAACAAAAAUCCUUAGCUUUUACCACACCAAACUUAGAAGGUUUACUCGUCCUCAAGCAAAAGAAGAAAGAAAAGAGUAGAAGAAGAAGAAAUAGAGGAGAUGGAGGGUGCUUCUCAUCCCUGCACCAUGUUGGCAUGUAAACUCCCCUUGCUUGCCAAUCUUGGUAUUAAACGCCAGGUUGCUGCCCAUUUCUGGCGUUUAACGCCAGCUCUGUGCCCAUUUCUGGCAUUAAAUGCCCAGAAUGGUGCCAGACUGGGCGUUUAAUGCCCAUUCUGCUACCCUUACUGGCGUUUAAACGCCAGUGAGCUUCUCCUACAUGGUGUGAUAUUUUUAAUACUAUUUUUCAUUCUGUUUUUUCUUUUUCAGUUAUUUUUGUUACUUCACAUGAUCAUCAACCUACAGAAAAUAUAAAAUAACAAUAGAAAAUAAAUAGAUAUGAUUAAAUAAAAUUGGGUUGCCUCCCAACAAGCGCUUCUUUAAUGUCAAUAGCUUGACAGUGGGCUUCUCAUGGAGCCUCACAGAUACUCAGAGCAUGAUGAUGACCUCCCAACACCAAACUUAGAGUUUGAAUGUGGGGAUUUGACUCUGCAUUGAGAGAAGCUUUUCAUGCUUCCUCUCCAUGGUUACAGAAGAAGAUCCUUGAGCUUUAAACACAAGGGAGUCCUCCUUCACUUGAAGGACCAAUUCUCCUCUGUCAACAUCAAUUACAGCUUUUGCUGUGGCUAGGAAGGGUCUACCAAGGAUGAUGGAUUCAUCCAUACACUUCCCAGUGUCUAGGAUUAUGAAAUCAGCAGGGAUGUAGUGGCCUUCAACCUUUACCAAGACAUCCUCUACAAGUCCAUAAGCCUGUUUUCUUGAAUUGUCUGCCAUCUCUAGUGAGAUUCUUACAGCUUGUACCUCAAGGAUCCCUAACUUCUCCAUUACAGAGAGAGCCAUGAGGUUUAUGCUUGACCCUAGGUCACACAGAGCCUUCUCAAAGGUCAUGGUGCCUAUGGUACAAGGUAUUGAGAACUUUCCAGGAUCCUGUCUCUUCUGAGGUAAUCUCUGCCUAGUCAAGUCAUCCAGUUCUUUGGUGAGUAAGGGGGGUUCAUCCUCCCAAGUCUCAUUACCAAAUAACUUGGCAUUCAGCUUCAUGAUUUCUCCUAGAUACUUAGCAACUUGCUCUUUAGUAACAUCUUCAUCCUCUUCAGAGGAAGAAUACUCAUCAGAGCUCAUGAAUGGUAGAAGUAAAUUCAAUGGAAUCUCUAUGGUCUCAGUGUGAGCCUCAAAUUCCCAUGGUUCCUCAUUAGGGAACUCCUUGGAGGCCAGUGAACAUCCAUUGAGGUAUUCCUCAGUGGAAAUCACUGCCUCUUCCUCCUCUCCAGGUUCGGCCGUGUGGGUUAUGUUGAUGGCCUUGCACUCUCUUUUUGGGUUCUCUUCUGUAUUGCUUGGGAGAGUACUAGGAGGGAGUUCAGUAAUUUUCUUACUCAGCUGACCCACUUGUGCCUCCAAAUUUCUAAUGGAGGACCUUGUUUCAGUCAUGAAACUUUGAGUGGUUUUAAUUAUAUCAGAGACUAUGGUUGCUAAGUCAGAGUGGCUCUGCUUAGAAUUUUCUGUCUGUUGCUGAGAAGAUGAUGGAAAAGGCUUGCUAUUGCCAAACCUAUUUCUUCCACCAUUACUGUUGUUGAAGCCUUGUUGAGGCCUCUGUUGGUCAUUCCAUGAUAGAUUUGGGUGAUUUCUCCAUGAAGGAUUAUAGGUGUUUCCAUAGGGUUCUCCCAUGUAAUUCACCUCUUCUAUUGCUGGAUUCUCAGGGUCGUAAGCUUCUUCUUCAGAUGAAGCUUCUUUGGUACUGCCUGUUGCUGCUUGCAUUCCAGAAAGACUCUGAGAAAUCAUAUUAACUUGCUGAGUCAAUAUUUUGUUCUGAGCCAAUAUGGCAUUCAGAGUAUCAAUCUCAAGAACUCCUUUCUUCUGAUUUGUCCCAUUAUUCACAGGGUUCCUUUCAGAAGUGUACAUGAACUGGUUAUUUGCAACCAUCUCAAUAAGUUCCUGACCUUCUGCAGGCGUCUUCUUCAGAUGAAGAGAUCCUCCAGCAGAGCUGUCCAAUGACAUCUUGGACAGUUUAGACAGACCAUCAUAGAAGAUACCUAUGAUGCUCCAUUCAGAAAGCAUGUCAGAAGGACACCUUCUGAUCAAUUGCUUGUAUCUUUUCCAAGCUUCAUAGAGGGAUUCACCUUCCUUCUGUCUGAAGGUCUGGACCUUCACUCUUAGCUUACUCAAUUUUUGAGGUGGAAAGAAUUUGGCCAGAAAAGCAUUGACCAGCUUUUUCCAAGAGUUUAGGCUUUCCUUAGGUUGUGAAUCCAACCAUAUUCUAGCUCUGUCUCAUACAUCAAAGGGAAAAAGCAUAAGCCUGUAGACCUCAGGAUCAACCCCAUUGGUCUUGACAGUGUCUGCAAGAAUUCAGCCAAGAACUGAUGAGGAUCUUCCAAUGGAAGUCCGUGAAACUUGCAAUUCUAUUGCAUUAGAGAAACUAAUUGAGACUUAAGCUCAAAAUUGUUUGCUCCAAUGGCAGUGAUUGAGAUGCUUCUCCCAUAGAAGUCAGGAGUAGGUGCAGUAAAGUCACCAAGCACCUUCCUUGCAUUGUUGGCAUUAUUGUUGUUUUCGGCUGCCAUGGCUUCUUCUUGUUUGAAAAUUUCUGUUAGGUCCUCUACAGAGAGUUGUGCUUUAGCUUCUCUUAACUUUCUCUUCAAGGUCCUUUCAGGUUCAGGAUCAGCUUCAACAAGAAUGCCUUUGUCCUUGCUCCUGCUCAUAUGAAAGAGAAGAGAACAAGAAAGUAUGAAAUCCUCUAUGUCACAGUAUAGAGAUUCCUUGAGGUGUCAGAGGAAAAGAUGAAUGGAAGAAGGGGGUAGAGAGGAGAGAAUUCGAACUUAUCAAGAGAGAGUCCGAAUUGCUGAUAGUAGAGGAGUGUUAGUCCUUAAAUAGAAGGAUGUGAGAAGAGGGGAAGAAUUUUCGAAAACAAAUUAACAAUAUUUUGAAAUAAUUAAAAGAAAUUUUGAAAAAUUGAUUGAUGAUUUUCAAAAAUUAGAAUUGAGAAAGUGGUUAAGUGAUUUUUGAAAAAGAUUUUGAAAUUAGAAAUAAAAAAGAUAUGAUUGAAAAUUAUUUUGAAAAAGAUGUGAUUGAGAAGCUAUGAUUGAGAAGAUAUGAUUGAGAAUCAAAUUAAAAAAGAAAGUUUUAAAAUUAAAGUUGAUUACUUGACUAAUAAUAAAUUAAAAGAUAUGAUUCUAGAAUUUAAAAUUUGAUCCUUUCUUAAUAGGCAAGUAACAACUUGAAAAUUUUGAAUUAAAUCAUUAAUUGUAGCAAGGGUUUUCGAAAAUAGUAAAAAAAAUAGAAAAUGGAAAGAAAUUGAUUUUGAAAAGAUAUGAUUGAAAAGAUAUGAUUUGAAAAAGAUUUGAUUUUGAAAAAUUAUGAAAAUUUGAAAGAGAUUUGAAUUAAAAACAAAAUCUUCCAUCUUGUGUCAUCCUGGCGUUAAACGCCCAAAAUACUACCUUUUUGGGCGUUUAACGCCCAGCCAGGUACCCUGGCUGGCGUUUAAACGCCAGUUUUCCUUCCUUACUGGCCGUUUUGAACGCCCAGCUUUUCUGUGUAAUUCAUCUGUUGCAUGUUCUGAAUCUUCAAUUCUCUGUAUUAUUGACUUGAAAAGACAUAAUUUUAAAAAAUUUUUUGAGUUUCUAAUGAUGAGAAACAAUCAAACUGCAACUAAUCAUGGAAAACUAAGAUUAAACAAACAAUGUAUGCAAGACACCAAACUUAAAAAUUUUCAUAUUAGAGACACUAACAAAUUGAGAAUGCAUAUGAAAAAUAACAAAACACACAAGACAAGAGAAUUUAAAGAUCAGAGCAAGGAAAUCAUCAAGAAUAACUUGAAGAUCAAUGAAGAACAUAAUGCAUGUAAUUUUCGAAAAUUAGAAGAAUGAAGACAUGCAAUUGACACCAAACUUAAAAUUAGACACUAGACUCAAACAAAAAAGCAUAAAAUAUUUUUUAUUUUAAGAUUUUAUAAAAAAAAUUUGUGAUUUUUCGAAAAUUAUAUGGAAAAGAAAAUAAAGAGAUUCAAAAUUUUUAAUAAGAAUUCCAAGAAUCAUGCAAUGUUAGUUUAAAACUCCGGUCCAGGAAUUAGACAUGGCUUACUAGCCAGCCAAGCUUUCAGUGAAAGCUUCGGUCCAAAACACUAGACAUGGCCAAUGGCCAGCCAAGCUUUAGCAGAUCAUUACGUUCAACAGCAAGAUUGAUAGAAAUCAACAAGCCCUUGUGAUGAUAAGUUGAAAUCUCGGUCCAAAAGAUUAGACAUGGCUUCACAGCCUGCCAGACUUCAACAAAUCAUCAUGAAACUCUAGAAUUCAUUCUUAAAAAUUCUGAAGCCAUAGAAUAAUUAAUUUUUUUGUAUUUUUCGAAAAUAAAAAGCCUAAAAAUAAAAUAAAAUAAAAUUACCUAAUCUGAGCAAUAAGAUGAACCGUCAGUUGUCCAAACUCAAACAAUCCCCGGCAACGGCGCCAAAAACUUGGUGCACGAAAUUGUGAUCAUCAAUGGCGCCAACAACUUGGUACGCACAAUUGUAAUCAUAACUCCUUGUCACAACUCCGCACAACUAACCAGCAAGUGUACUGGGUCGUCCAAGUAAUAAACCUUACGUGAGUAAGGGUCGAUCCCACAGAGAUUGUCGGCUUGAAGCAAGCUAUGGUCAUCUUGUAAAUCUCAGUCAGGCGAAUUCAAAUGGUUAUGGAGAAUUGAUAAUUAAAAGAUGAAUAAAAUAUAAAAUAGGAUAGAGAUACUUAUGUAAUUCAUUGGUGAGAAUUUCAGAUAAGCGUAUGAAGAUGCUUUGUUCCUUCUGAAUCUCUACUUUCCUAUUGCCUUCUUCCAAUCAUUCAUACUCCUUUCCAUGGCAAGCUUAUGUUGGGUUUCACCGUUGUCAAUGGCUACCUCCCAUCCUCUCAGUGAAAAUGGUCCAAAUGCGCUGUCACCGCACGGCUAAUCAGCUGUUGGUUCUCGAUCAUGUUGGAAGAGGAUCCAUUGAUCCUUUUGUGUCUGUCACUACGCCCAACACUCGCGAGUUUGAAGCUCGUCACAGUCAUCCCUUCCCAGAUCCUACUCGGAAUACCACAGACAAGGUUUAGACUUUUCGGAUCUCAAGAAUGCUGCCAACUGAUUCUUGCCUAUACCACGAAGACUCUGAUCUCAUGGAAUGGAAGGCUCGGUUGUCAGGCGAGGCAACCAUGCAUCAUGAACCAGGAGGCUAAGAGAUACAUACUCAAUCGAAGAUAGAACGGAGGUGGUUGUCAGGCACGCGUUCAUAGGUGAGAAUGAUGAUGAGUGUCACGGAUCAUCACAUUCAUCAGGUUGACGUGCGAGUGAAUAUCUUAGAGAAGAAAUAGGCUUGAGUUGAAUAGAAAAACAAUAGUACUUUGCAUUAAUUCAUGAGGAACAGCAGAGCUCCACACCUUAAUCUAUGGGGUGUAAAAACUCCACCGUUGAAAAUACAAAAGUGAUAAUGGUGAUCAUUGGCUUCGGCCCCAGAGAGGGAACCAGAAGAACCAAGAUGAAAAUACAAUAGCAAAAGGUCCUAUUUAUAGAGAACUAGUAGCCUAGGGUUUACAGAAAUAAGUAAAUGAUGCAGAAAUCUUCUUCUGGGCCCACUUGAUGUGUGCUUGGACUGAGCAUUAAAGCUUUCACGUGUAGAGACUUUUCUUGGAGUUAAACGCCAGCUUUUGUGCCAGUUUGGGCGUUUAACUCCAGCUUUUAUGCCAAUUCUAGCGUUUUGACGCCAUAAUUUUUAUGCUGACUUGGAACACCAGUUUGGGCCAUCAAAUAUCGAGCAAAAUAUGAACUAUUAUAUAUUGCUGGAAAGCCCAGGAUAUCUACUUUCCAACGCAAUUGAGAUCGCGCCAAUUGAGCUUCUAUAGCUCCAGAAAAUUCACUUCGAGUGCAGGAAGGUCAGAAUCCAACAGCAUCUGCAGUCCUUUUUCAGCCUCUGAAUCAGAUUUUUCCUCAGGUCCCUCAAUUUCAGCCAGAAAAUACCCGAAAUCAUAGAAAAACACACAAACUCAUAGUAAAGUCUAGAAAUGUGAUUUUUAUUUAAAAACUAAUAAAAACAGAAUAAAAACUAACUAAAAUAUACUAAAAACAUACUAAAAACAAUGCCAAAAAGUGUAUAAAUUAUCCGCUCAUCAGACGACCCAGAGUUCAAAUACUUCAGUUAUAAAUUCAUUGGGGUUUGUACUUGUGACAAUUCAAAUUUUUGAUGUGGGAAUUGUUUGGUGGUUUGGAGCUAUGCUUACAACGAAGUAAUUCUUUCUACAAGAAGAAAUUCUAGACCGACACGACAAAACUCAUCUAUCAAAAUGGCACCGUUGGCGGGGAGUUGCAAUGGUGUUAUGUUAUUGGCUAUAGUAUAUAUGUUAAUAUGCUUCUUUGCUAGUUUUUUCUUAUUUUAGGAGUUAGUUUUUAUUAGUUCUUACUAGUUUUGUUUUUAUUCUUUUUUGCUAUUAUGAAUUCUCAUCCUCACUUUGGCUAUGAGUUUGGCUCAAAUUAUGUUGUAGAAAAUGGAAACUAUAAUGACAAUAUGCAUCAAGAAUGGAACAAUCAAAGAUGGAAGGAGCCUCAAGAGAUUGAUCACCCUUCUUGGCAACAACAACCUUCAGAUUCUUAUGGUAUAACUCCCAUCCUAAUGCAUAUCAUUCUAAUGGAUGUGGUGACCCUUAUUGUGAUUAUCAACAACCACCAUCAUAUGCCUAUGAACCACCCCCUCAACAUGACUUUGAACCACCUUACUCACAAGCCCCCUACCACCAAACACUUCAUUAUGACCCUAAUCCUUAUCCACCAUACCAACCACCUUAUGAACCAUAUGAACCACACAUGGAACCACCACCAUUCCAACACAAUUACUCUCAAGAACCACCUCAAUAUACGCUAUCUCCAUAUCCUUGCCAAGAUGAACCAACUUCCAAUUAUGAAACCUCCUUCCCAAACAAUGAACCUUCUUUUUCCACACCACCUCAAAUGGAUGAUUCUCUCCAAGAAUGUGUUAGUUCUUACAUUCGAAGGCAAGAAGAGAACCAAAAGGAGUUCAAGGAGUUAGAAGCCAAGAUAGCUACCAUAGCAGAAGCUGUUCACAAUAUGGUCUCCUCCCGCCUAAGCCUAUACGAUCAAGGAACUCCCAUUGUUAAAUGUGGAGAAGCAAUCAAGGAGCAUAGUAAGGGAGUGAGUUUGGUGCUUCAAGGUGGAGAAGAGGAGUUAAAGCAAGAAUUGUCACAAGGGGAGGAAGUUAAGACAAUUGAGCUGGAAGAAGUGGUUGAAGACGUAGGAGAUGUAGAAAGUCCACGGGAAUGUAGAAUUAGAGAGCCCUCUCCCAAGAUGCUUGAUGUUGAUGUUGAAGAGGGUGUAUAACCUCCAAAGCAUAUCUUGGUUGAAGACUUUGAAGAGGUUGAUCAAGAGAUGGAUUCAAUUAUUGAGGAGUUCCUAUCUACAAUUGAAUCCCCUCCCAUUGGGCUUGAAAUUGAGGUCAAAGAAGAAGAUGAACAACCUCCCAUACCUUGGUAAGCAAUGAAGAAGAGAUUGAAUUGGAAGCGAGCUACCAAGAGGAAGAGGUUGAAAUUGAAGAAGCUUGUGAAGAGGUGGAGGUAGUCAAAGAAGAGCACAAGGGAGUGGAACUUGCAAGAUCAUUAGGACCACCACUUCCUAAGUCACCAUCCAAUACAACAUUCAAGUGGGUAAAAUUCUUAUCCCUAAGCUUUGCUUUCUCACUUGAAUAUGGUUUGAUUGAAAAUGAUGGUCAACUUAGAGCUCGUUGUGGAGUUAAGAGUAGAAGAGAGUUGUGUAAUGGUUGGAAACACCAUUCUAAGUUCAUGAUAGUUGCAUGCUCAAAGUUGAAUGGCAAUGGUUAGUGUAGAACCAAAUUGCAUGGGUCUAAGAGAAUGUUUGGAUGCUUAAUUGAUAAGUCUAAGGUCAUGCCACCUAAUUGGAAUCAUGAUGAUCAAUUUGAAGAUGGGUGUCAAAACAAAGUGUGGGAUCCUGGAUCGCACAAGGAGAAUCAAAUUUGGGAGCCCAUGGCUUGUGUGGAACUCCAUCAAGGCUUGGAGUUAUCAUCUUUGAAGACUAAAGCUUAUUGGAGAUUCAAGUAUUGGUGGAUGUUUAAAGAUAGCUUCAAGCACAAGCCACCUUAAGAGGAGCUCCCCAUAAGUCCAACUUAAGGACAAUAAACAAAAGUGCUAUGUGGGAGACACCCCACCAUGGUAAUAUCUUUUCAUUUUCUCUUUUGUAAAUAUUGGUAGAAUUAGUUUAUAUUCAUAUUUAGAGUAGUUUGUUGAGUCUAUUUGGUAGUCUAAUAUGUUAAAUAAGGUUUUAGGGUGUUUUGGUAGCUGUUUAGAGGUUUGGAAGGCUUGGUUUGGUGUAAGAAAUUGGAAAAAUUUUGAAAAAUAGAGCACCAACCCGCGCGUGCGCGCGCCUCGAGCAUUUUCGAUCAUCCACGCGGACGGGCCAUGUACGCGUACGCGUGGAUGCAAAAACUCCACCCCCAGCCAAAAACCCGAGAGUUAGGCCUGCACUGUGCAAACAUUGGGCCUAAGGUACAAACCAACCCGUGCAUGCGCGCACCUUGCGCGUACGUGCCCAUAAGCUAAAUGCGCAAUGCACGCACAUGCACGCUGUGCGCGCGCGCGCCGAUAGCGUCACCUACCCCCCUGGUAUAAAAACCAGAGAGUUGUGCCAAAGUUGUGCCUACUCUGUGCCCGCGACUGACGCGCAGACGCACUUCACGCGUCCGCACCGAUCGCCACCUUCAUCAUGCACACGCCCGCGCACUGUGCGCGUCCGCGUCGCAAAAAAAAAUUCUUUUCUUUUAUUGCAUUUUCUUAUUUUCAUUUAUUGCAUUUUAAUUUUGUUUUUAUAGCUUGUUCUUAUCUUCUUUUCUAAAUUUCUUAUUUUAAUAAUGGUGUUGACUCCUCCUACUCAAUUGUUGAGAAUCUCUUGGUUAAUCUUGGUGCUUCUUGACUUGUUUGAUAUUGUUGGGUGAUGAAACUUUUAAAUCAAUGCUUAAUCUUGUAUAACUCUUAUAUUCUUUAUGCAUUGAUAUGAAUUUGCAUGCCUUUCAUGAUCCACUCUUUCUAGUUGAACUUGAUGCUUUUGAAUGCUCUUCAUGCUUUGACUUUACUCUUGCAUCAAGUGUUAGUUAAUAUGCCUUAGCUUAUAUUAUUUUCUCACUCACAUGUUGUAGCUACCAUGUAGUAGAGAACCAUACUCUUAUUUGGCAUUAGCCCCCGCCUAUGUUCUACUUGCUUUGCUAUCUUUGUUGUAGGCUUAAUUCUGUUUCUUUUUCUUUCCUUUUAGGUUGGCCACCAAGAAGGAAAGGAAUGGAGAAGCUUCAAAUGGGGCAACAAACAAGUUCACCCGCACAACCUUUUGAAGGAGCUCAUCAAUUGUAGCAACCCGUCCACCUUGCUUUCCUUUGCAUGCACCGAGGACGGUGCAAAUUUCUAAGUGUGGGAAGGUCGUCCGACCGACCUCCAUGGGUAACAACUUCCUUUUUCAACACCAAUUCUUAAUUUUUUGUCUUUGUCAGUUAGUUGUUGCAUUGCAUGAUAGAUUGCAUAUUAGUUCGAAUUUGUACAUAUUUUUACAACUUCCUUUUUAUGUUAGGACUACUUGGUUAGGGUGAUGAGUUCUUUUCCAGGAAACUGUUUUUAGGGCACCCUACCAAUUAAAAUUUUUUUGUGAUGAACUUGCUUGAAGAAUUUAUUUUGGAACAUGGUUUUUGAGCUAAGAACACAAGCAUGUGAGUUUUGAGCUUAAUUAUGUGGUUACAUCAUAUAACCACUUAUUUUCAUUUUUGUGUGCAUUAUUCUCUUUCUAUGAUUGUAAUAUUUGAUUUGUUUUAUUCUUUAUGUCCAUUAUUCCAUGUAUACAUGCAUUUAUAUGAUUGAGGCCAUAAUUUCAUAUAGCCCACUUACCCAAAUAGCCUACCUUUCAUCAACCAUUGUUAGCCAAUUUUGAGCCUAUUUAAUCCCUUUUGUUCUUAAUGUUAGCACAUCACCACUCAUAAGCGAAAAAUAAUAAAUGUCCUUAAUUUGGAUCUUUGAUUAGCUUAGGCUAGUGAGGGUGUGUAUCAUUUGGGUAUGGGAAACUUGGGACAUUGGUUGAGGGAAAAGUGUAAUUUUUUUUUGCUAAAAAUAUUGGGAAUUGGGUACAUAUUCAUGCAUUAUACGUAAAACCAUAUGCAUUGAUACGUUUGUAUAUACUUUAGAAAAAAAUGAUGAUAAAGAAAAAGAAAUAAAAAGGGGACAAAAAUGCCCCAAAGUAAAGUUCAAUGAAAAUCAAUGCAUAUGGAAUGUGAAUUAAAGAGAAUGCAUGAGUAUGUGAAAAAGUGGGAAUCAUGGGUAGCUAAGUUGUGUAUUAGAAUUGUAUAGGUUGUUAUAUGUGUUUGGAAAGAGCUUAGGCUAAUCAAAGAUACAAAUUUCAAGCUCACUUGACCACAUGCAUCCUAACCUUUACCCUAGCCCCAUUACAACCUAUGAAUAAGUCCUCAUGAUGAAUGUAUGCAUGCAUUGAAUAAUUGUUGCUUGUUAGAUGAAAAACAAAUCAUGGAAAGCAUGACUAGAAGAGAAUUGAGUGGAUCGACCCUAUACACUUGAGCGACUAGAGCGGAUACACUUCCAGUGAGGGUUCGAUGCUCAAUUCCUUGUUCCCUGCUUUCAUGAGCUUUCUUCUUACAAGUCUAUUUGAACUUCAUUGUGAUAUUUGAAUUGGUAGAGUUUGAGUCGUCAUAUGACCUUUGCCCCCUUGCUUAUAUAUGUUCUUGGAGAUUGGUUUGCUUUCAACCAAGUAGGUAGAACCAUUUUGCAUUUAGUUGCAUUCAUAUAGAUAGGUGCAAAUAGUUUAUUUGCAUUGAAUAAAUGUUCAUAUCCUUUUCUUGUCCUUCUUUAUAUAGAUAGGUGCAUAUAGUUUACUUUUCUUGCACUCUAGAUGUUUGAUAAAAUAUUUCCUCUAGUUUUUGAGUAGUUCUCUUAGUUUAUGAUGUUAAUUUCCCUUUUACGCUCUCUUUUAGGUUCAUGGAUGCUUAUGUUGGAUUUAGAUCCCUUUUAAUGAAAUUUAAUGUUUGAUGUUCUUUUAAUUGAUGAUUUAAGUUGUUGAUUUACUUUCCUUGUAAUUUGUAGUUGGUAGAUUUAUGAUUCUUGCAAUUUAUGACGUUUACUUUUCUUGCACUCUAGAUGUUUGAUAAAAUAUUUUCUCUAGUUUUUGAGUAGUUCUCUUGACUCUUGGCCUAGGCUAAGGGAAUUGAGUGACCUUGAGUCAUUGGGUCUCAUUGAAUUGGUGAUUUGAGAACCCUUGGUGAUCAAUUUGAUACUCAUUGAUGCCAACCCACUACUAAUCUAAUUAGUAGGUAGGUUGGGACUUAUGGGUUGAUGUGAUCAAGCCUAUUUGACGUACUUCAAGCCUAGGAGUAGAUAUUACGUACUUAAGGCUUUGGAAGUAGACUUAAUAGGUUGGCCUCUCAUAAUUAUCAAUAUAUGGUUUGUAGACAAGGAUGGUGAUCUCAAUUAUCUAUGUCUAGCCAAGAGCUCUUUUUCCUUUAUUUUAUUAGUUCUUGUCAUUUUACCUUCUUGUCAUUUACUUUUUUUUUGUCAAACUAUAAAAUCAAACCCCCCUUGCAUCUUCAUAGCCAAUAAUUGACCACUUCAUUGCAAUUCCUUGUGAGACGACCCAGAGUUCAAACACUUCAAUUAUAAAUUCAUUGGGGUUUGUACUUGUGACAACUCAAAUUUUUGAUGUGGGAAUUGUUUGUUGGUUUGGAGCUAUGCUUACAACGAAGUAAUUCUUUCUAUAAGAAGAAAUUCUAGACCGACACGACAAAACUCAUCUAUCACUAACCUGACAUGUCUUGGUAGCUAACAAUUGGACGGUCCCUGUGAGCGCGCAUCCCCAAGCUCAAAAUUAUAAUGGGGGAGAGCUCAUCCGGAAAGGUAUAAGUGUCCGGCCAUACUUAUGACGCAGGGUCAACAGAAUUUCGGAUCUGAACCUGGAGCAAGUGGAGCUGACCCACUGCAUCUACCCAAGGAAAUCCGAAACUCAAAUAAUUUCACAAAUCUUAAAUCAUUCUCGACUGGGAGCAAGUGGGGGCUAACUACUGUAUCUACCCCAGGAGACUCAAAUCAAACUCGGAGCAAGUGGAUCAAUGCCACUAUAUCUACCCAGGCAGGUAUAUAUAUAUAUAUACAUCAAUCAGAAUCAAUUUCAUUAUCCAUCUCAUCCUCAAUCUUAUCAUCGAUCUCAUUCUCAAACUCAUAUCAAUCUCAUUCUCAAUCUCAUAUUCAAUAGUAUUUAAACUCACUCAUCAUCAUCUUUCAUUAUCAUAUUUAAUUACCAUUAAUCAUCACAAUCACCCUCAUCAUACAUUACUCCUCGUUUUGUUUAUUAUCAUCUAAUUCACUAACUCAGCUCUUUAGGUUUCGUUCUCAACUCCUCUAUCCUUAAUUCCAUCGACUUUAAACUCGUAUAAGAAUUAUAAAGAUUUAGAAGACUCAAGAAAUGGUUGAAAUCUUAAAAACUCAUUUUUCAAAAAAUUGGGGUGGUCGCAUACGCAGCCCAUGUUCGCGUACGAACGAGUGUUGGUAGUGGCCAACACCCGCGUACGCAUGAUGAGUUCGGCGCACGCAUUACAUAUCAGAACUUGAAAAUUUCUAAUAUGUUACAGAAACCAAUUCUUUCAGCCUAAAGUUCAAACAUUCAUAACUUUUUCCAGAAAACUCAUUUUUCAACCAUUCUUGAACCGGUGGAAAGAUCGAUAACUUGAUAUUCAGAAAAAUUCAAUUUUGUAAAGUUUUUCCAACUCCGAGGGUCGAGUCAUGACCUACUGAAGUUAGCCAAAAAUCAAUUUGAACAAUAAUAUAUAAGUUACCAACCUUUCCAAAGAUUCACAAGCCUUAUCAGUUUCUACUCAAUAUAAUGAUUCCAAAACCUUCCCAAAUCACUCUUUCAUAAUCGACCAAACUCAAAUAAUCUAAUUCACGUCUCAACUCCACGAUCAAAACCAAUUAUCACUAAUCACAUCUCAAUCUCAAGCAUGACCUUCAGACUCACACUUCUAUUUCCAAACCCUUAAAUUUAUAAUUAAUUUACGUAUUAAUAUCCUUAGCUAGUUAUCCAAAUCUCUUCUCGUUGUCAUUAAAAUCACAUAAAUUAAAAUCAUAAAUCAACCAAAUCAUAAUGUUUGAAAUCAUUUAAAACAUUCCAAACUUUUCUCUUUUGACAAUUAAUUCAAACCAAACUCAUUUUCGAAAUUAUAACCAAAACAAUUACAAAUUUUUGGAAAAAUUUUGGCAGCACCUCCCUUAGAAACUGGAGUUUGCCACCCAUCACGGGUCCUCUCUUUUCAAUCCUCAACACAACCAAAACUAGCAACAAUCAAGGGUCACAGCAACGAUGACUUAUCUGACAUAAAUUGGGAUUCAAGCGAACUUGAUAUUAAAUGAAAUUAGAACAUAAUUGUUAAUAGAGUAUUGCGGUAAAUAGGAACGGAACCAAUUAGUCUUACCACGAGAAACGAAGCAGGACGAUACCGUAACCGUUUUUAUUUUAAUCAUACAAUUUCUGAAACUCAAACCUGGGAUAUUAACAUCACGAAAUUCUCAAUAAUUUGUAGUCGAAUAAUAGUGGUAAGGGUUUCAAGGCUAGAAUAACUCACUGCAGCUAAAGAGAAAUGAGGCAACAGAGCAGUAGCAGCUCCGGCAGCUACCUUGAGUGACGGCGGCAACCCGAAUCUCUACUGACAGCAACUGUAAUAACCAGGCAGUGACAAUAAUAUUUCUGGAAUUCAAAAGGACAGAAACCAAACUCAAAAACCUUACCGACAAUGGACCUCAGCUGCGCUAUUUUCUGACAACAGAGGCUCGGCCACCCUCCUCCAGCAGCGGCGACUGCACACGUGACAGGGACUGUGCGAGACUCGGCGACAGUGACGCGACGGCUUGCCUCCUUCCUUGCGUCGCACCGUCUAUGUCUCUCUCAAUCUCGGCAUCGCUCUCCCUUUCUCCUUCGAGCUCGACGGCAUCGGACCCAUGACGGUGGCGGCAUUGAGGAUAAAAGGCACAAACACAUCUGCGACGAUGCUCUCCUUUCUCUCUUCUCCUCUCCGCGUUGGCGCCAGCAAUGAUGGGCAGUUUGGCGGCGAUGAUGACACGAUGGCCCUACAGCAGUGAUGCCCGCCGGCGCCGUCCUCCCUCUCUUCUCCUCUGUCUCUGUUUCUCCCUCUUUCCCGCCGCUCUCUCUUUCCCCCUUCUUGCUCCCUUUUCUUUCUUUCUUUCUUUACGCUUUAGUUUGAGUUUUAAAAAUCUCUUCUUGAAGUUAGAAUACAAAUGUCUGGGAUAGAAUCGAUGAUCUACUCCGAAAAAUAGCUCAUCAAAUGUUAAAACUAAUUCCUACAACAUUUAUAUAAUUCACUUUUCUGGAGACAUAAUUGAAUGUAAACACAAAUAGUGGGUAUAAUAUUAAAAUUGAAUACAUCCAAGUGAGACCUAAUUGAGAAUGAAUACAUCCAAGUGAGAGUAAUUAAAAAAUAUAAUCUGAUUUGUUAGUAUAAUUGAUAGUAGGAUAACAUUAAAUCACUUUUAUAAACGUUAAGGAUAAAAAUAGGACGAUUUAAACGUUAGAGAUACAAAUAGGACUUACCCCAAAUAUUGGGGACAAAAACGAUACUUUACUCAUAAAAUUAAGUAAAAUUCUAAUUUAAUUAUCAAAACCUGAUUUAAUUUCUUUUCAUAAAAUAAUUUCUGAAAAUAAAGUCCUUGAUAAAUAAAUAAAUUGAAAUUAGCUCACAAUAAGAUUUUUCGAAAAUUCUGGGUCUUACAUUCUACCCACCUUAGAAAAAUUUUCGUCCUCAAAAAUUAAAGUAAUACUCGAGAUAUUGCAUAAUUUUAAUACUCUACUUUUGGAUACUUUAGAAAAGCAAGAAGUCUUGACAUAUAACUAUAUAUACAUAUAAAUUUUCAAAUACCGGAUAAGCCAUAAAACUUAGAUAUAAAGAAAGAGGGUNNNNNNNNNNNNNNNNNNNNNNNNNNNNNNNNNNNNNNNNNNNNNNNNNNNNNNNNNNNNNNNNNNNNNNNNNNNNNNNNNNNNNNNNNNNNNNNNNNNNNNNNNNNNNNNNNNNNNNNNNNNNNNNNNNNNNNNNNNNNNNNNNNNNNNNNNNNNNNNNNNNNNNNNNNNNNNNNNNNNNNNNNNNNNNNNNNNNNNNNNNNNNNNNNNNNNNNNNNNNNNNNNNNNNNNNNNNNNNNNNNNNNNNNNNNNNNNNNNNNNNNNNNNNNNNNNNNNNNNNNNNNNNNNNNNNNNNNNNNNNNNNNNNNNNNNNNNNNNNNNNNNNNNNNNNNNNNNNNNNNNNNNNNNNNNNNNNNNNNNNNNNNNNNNNNNNNNNNNNNNNNNNNNNNNNNNNNNNNNNNNNNNNNNNNNNNNNNNNNNNNNNNNNNNNNNNNNNNNNNNNNNNNNNNNNNNNNNNNNNNNNNNNNNNNNNNNNNNNNNNNNNNNNNNNNNNNNNNNNNNNNNNNNNNNNNNNNNNNNNNNNNNNNNNNNNNNNNNNNNNNNNNNNNNNNNNNNNNNNNNNNNNNNNNNNNNNNNNNNNNNNNNNNNNNNNNNNNNNNNNNNNNNNNNNNNNNNNNNNNNNNNNNNNNNNNNNNNNNNNNNNNNNNNNNNNNNNNNNNNNNNNNNNNNNNNNNNNNNNNNNNNNNNNNNNNNNNNNNNNNNNNNNNNNNNNNNNNNNNNNNNNNNNNNNNNNNNNNNNNNNNNNNNNNNNNNNNNNNNNNNNNNNNNNNNNNNNNNNNNNNNNNNNNNNNNNNNNNNNNNNNNNNNNNNNNNNNNNNNNNNNNNNNNNNNNNNNNNNNNNNNNNNNNNNNNNNNNNNNNNNNNNNNNNNNNNNNNNNNNNNNNNNNNNNNNNNNNNNNNNNNNNNNNNNNNNNNNNNNNNNNNNNNNNNNNNNNNNNNNNNNNNNNNNNNNNNNNNNNNNNNNNAACAAAGAGGUUACGUAGUGUCAAGACUUUACUAAAGCUUGAAGAAAUGCCAUAAGGUGUAAAUGUUCAAGGUGUGUGUUUGCAAAACAAUGUGGUCAAUAGGCCAACAUUCUAGUUUCCUUAACUAAUCAUGAGGUCUCAACGUCCCACACUUUAACAUAGCUCACCAUCACAAUUCUCAACUAUACUUUAUCGAACGAUUCAUCCGAAAGUUCUCAACCUCAUUAAUCACUUCUCAAACCCAUUACCAAUCACAAGCCUAAUACCAACAAAACUCUUUCGCGUAAAUCCAAGAUCCACAACAUCCUGUGGCAUCACACACUUACAAGUUUCACCUUUUGCAUUCACCAACCGUGUCUUAAGAACUAACAUAUCGCUUGUUGUAUUUAAAGACCACACGUGACACUAAAAUAAAUCUCGAGUUUACUUAAAAAGACACAAGACUUUAGAAAGGAAAGGCAAGUGUCAAGGACAAUACUCAUAAAUAUUUGAAAGAAUGAAUGCAAUUACAGGUAAACAAGGAUGCACAAGCAAUGAAGUUUGCUAGAAAGAAAUCAAUUGACAACUUCAAGGAUAACUCUUAAAUCAAAGAAAUUUAAUAAGAUCAAUAAGAAGAAAAACAAAACAUUAGUUUGAAACAUAUUCAAGCCGAGUCAAAGAAGUAUGAGAUUUUAUAGAAGAGGAAUGAUUAAAGACUAUAGUGACGCAUUACUACGGAACAACUUCAAAUGAUCACGAGGGUUUCAUAGUUCGUGGAGGAAUAUGGAAUCAAUAGCCGUGUUGUAAGUGUCUUAACAUAGUCAGAAGUGUAAGCAGAUCAGGAUAUGCGUAAGAUACAAAUGGUAAAGCAAAGAAAUUUAAAUUACAUCUCAAGAAAAAGAGAAGGAUAAACGACACAUCAAAUUAAAUGGCACGAUUUAGAACGCAUAAGCCAAUACCGCAUAAUUAAAAGAAGCACUUUACAUUUUCAAGGAUUCAAGGGUCAGUGUCGUACCAAAACAAUUUCAAUGUCAUGUCAAAGAAUACAAGAUUCAUGAAGAGAAGUAUAAUGACAAGGAUAGACGUUAUUAAAGAUUCAAACAGUAGUUUACAAAUAAGAGGCCGACGUAUGGAGAGAUUAAAGAACUUUAAUAGAGAUGAUUAGAAGAAAAUGGUGCAUUCAUUAGAAUUGAAUUCAAACUGAAUUUAAAGUACAAGAUUUACAAUAAGAGAGUGACCAGAGUCAAGGACGUCAUUUACAAAAUUCAAGAGAAUGUUUAGGAACACAAUUGAAUGAAAUAUCCACAAAGAAUAGAUCAACUUAAGAGGAAGAUCAUCUUACCUAGUAAAAAGAGAAGAUAUGAAAUAAACAAUUGAGGAAAUUUAACAAAGUAUAGAGGUUUGCGUUACCUCAAAAUAUAUUCAGGUUGAAAUAAGUUACGUGAGGGUUGUAAAAUGAAGGUCGUUUAGAAUAAAAGCAAAAUCUUCCUUCAAGAAACUUAGAGUAUACUUAGGUACAUGACCAAACAAAGAUAUGCAUAAAUUGUAAUAGGGUCGGAAGAAAAGAAGAAGUUGUUUUACAUCAAAAUGAUUUCUAAGGUAAAGAUAGAAUAUGUAAAGUUUAAAAGAUGGAAUUUAAUUGGACUAAGAACCAAAAGUAAUUUCUCAAGAGUCUUAAAAGGUACUUAGGUGUUUAGUCAAUUAGAGGUACGUAAUGAAAUUGCGGUAAAGUUGAAAAGAAUUCAAAUUUUGUUUCAAAGGAGAAUUUGAGAUAAAGUCUCAGAAUACAUAAGCUCUCAAAAUUCAUAUGAGUAAGGGCAUGCUAGAUUCAAAACAUCUUCAUUAAAUUUAAAGAAUGACUCUGGAUAUAAUCAAGCAAGAGAAGAUUGAUUGAAAAUUUCUUCAAAGAGAAUCCAAAACUUCUUUAAAAAGGUCUAAAACCAAAAUUUUGAAUGUAUUAUUGAAAUCGCAACCUCAUAAAGAUAUUAAAAAAGAUUGAGAAAUGCAAGGAAGGAAAUUCAUUCACAUUUCAAGAAAGAAACUUAAAUCAAGUAGUUCAAACAGAAUUCAAAAGGCAUGACAGAUCGAACAAGUUCUCAGCUGAUCUAAAUGAAUACAAAACUCAUAAGGAAAAACAACUCAGCCAACAGCAAAAUCUCAAAGAUUUCAAUGAUCACUUUGAUGCAUCAAACAAGUUCAAAGCACAUCAAAGAGUACAUGAGUCAAGAAAAAGAGUUUAAACAACAUAAGGCAGAUAUCCAAGGAAUGUAAGCAGACAUAUGCAGUCAACAUCAAACGAGUAUGCAUAUGCACAAGGAACAGGGUUUGAGAAUAAUCAGUUUACUUUUCAAAAAAGAGAUCUCAAACAGGAAUUUCAAAGCAAACCAUGAAAGAACACGUCACAAGUCAUUAGCAAAAUUUCAAGACACAUAACAGAGUAACCUCGAGAAUUAACUCCUAACAUUCCCAAACCCGUAAACCGCAUCAUUUAUUAAUCCUAUUUUAUCUAUGAUAACCCAUUAACUUCUCGUACACAUAAACCAUCAACAUUAAGUUGGCCAGACUUAACAUCAGCAGAUAUGCAACGGUAAGCUAAUAGCGUUAAUCAAUAGACAGUCAUGUGCAUAAAGUUCUAACUCUCGUCAUCAGGACAAGACCUAUAACAUGACAGAUACUCAGUGUAUGCAACGAAGUAUAGUCAGUCCACUCCCAAGCUCUAAUCAGGAUGAACUACUCUGAUAUCAUAAUGUAACUCCUUUACUUUUAGCACCUCAUGAUCGCACUAAAGGUUCAGGCGUUACUUACCUCUAAUCUAUUAAUUUCAUAUUAUAAUUAUUUAAUAUUGAGCUUUCGCGAAUAAAAACCGAAUCCUUAGUUACGAAAUCAAAAAGCCUUUACUUUAAUUCACUUAAUCACACAAUUAUAUCCACAUAAUAAUAAAUACAUAGAAUUAUUCAAAACUCAAAAUACAAGUCGUGCCCCUCUAAAAUCUCAAAAUGACAAUUGACGAGGGAUAAAAUCACAACUAAACCAUCAAACAGAAAAUAUAACAUAUAUAUAAAUCUUGUAGAUCGGUUGCGGCUUUGCGCCAACGCUUUCUGAACCUGUUACUGAAAAGAAAUCAUGUAGGGGGUGAGAACAUCGUCCUCACAGGUUCUUAGUAGGGACGGGAAUAUCAUCAAAGCAAAGAAAUACUUGCAAAUAGAAUAAUUUUCAUUACAAAAACAGAUUACCUUUGAAAUAAUCUUUUGGAAAAGUUUUGCAAAAAAUCUUACUUUAAAAGGUCGUAAAGAAACUCUUUUAAUUUACAAGCCCAGCAGGUGAAUAGUUUAAAGGACAAAAGAACCAAAGACAUGCCUGAGGGCUUUCAGCCCCAUGACUUACCCCACUCAAAUCCAAAACUGGGUAUAACUACAACAUACACACUUAAGCUUUUAUCCAACAUUCUACUCAGCCUAUCUCUUUUCAUUUACACAGUCUAUCCGCAUAUAACUCAGUAAUUCAGUAUUAAAACUCAGUUUUCAACAAACAUCCCAUCAUCAACAUCAAGAAUAACCCUCAGCGUCACCAUAGCUAGCAUGAGGGAUCUCUCAGUUGUCAAACACAGACAAGACAAAGCAAAGCAUACACAAUUAGAUAGUACAGAUAAAGCAAUUAGGUCAAUUAGCAGAUAGAUACAAUUAUUCAAUUAGGUAAACCCACAAACAAGAGUCACCCAAAUAAUACACACAAAUGCAAAUGAUGCAUGUCUGCCCUAUGGCUAAUGAUAUCAUCUGUCGGUUAUAUAGCCAACCCGACAUGUCCUGGUAGUUAACCAUUGGACAUUCCCUGCAAGCACACAUCCUCAAGCUCAAAAUCAUAACCAUUCAAUAUCUAUAUAUCCAUGGGGGAGAGCUCAUCCGGAAAGGAAUAAGUGUCUGGUCACACUUACGACGCAGGAUCAACAGAAUCUCGGAUCUCAACUUGGAGCAAGUGGAGCCGGCCCACUGCAUCUACCCAAGAAAAUCCUAAAUCNNNNNNNNNNNNNNNNNNNNNNNNNNNNNNNNNNNNNNNNNNNNNNNNNNNNNNNNNNNNNNNNNNNNNNNNNNNNNNNNNNNNNNNNNNNNNNNNNNNNNNNNNNNNNNNNNNNNNNNNNNNNNNNNNNNNNNNNNNNNNNNNNNNNNNNNNNNNNNNNNNNNNNNNNNNNNNNNNNNNNNNNNNNNNNNNNNNNNNNNNNNNNNNNNNNNNNNNNNNNNNNNNNNNNNNNNNNNNNNNNNNNNNNNNNNNNNNNNNNNNNNNNNNNNNNNNNNNNNNNNNNNNNNNNNNNNNNNNNNNNNNNNNNNNNNNNNNNNNNNNNNNNNNNNNNNNNNNNNNNNNNNNNNNNNNNNNNNNNNNNNNNNNNNNNNNNNNNNNNNNNNNNNNNNNNNNNNNNNNNNNNNNNNNNNNNNNNNNNNNNNNNNNNNNNNNNNNNNNNNNNNNNNNNAUAUAUAUAUAUAUCCAUGGGGGAGAGCUCAUCCGGAAAGGUAUAAGUCUGGCCACAUUUACAACACAGGGUCAACAGGAUUUCGGAUCUCAACCUGGAGCAAGUGGUGCCGACCCAUUGCAUCUGCCCAAGGAAAUCCAAAACUUAGAUAGUUUCACAAAUCUCAAAUCAUUCUCAACUGGGAGCAAGUGGAUCAAUGCCACUGCAUCUACCCAGGCAGGUAUAUAUAUACAUACAUCAAUCAGAAUCAAUUUCAUUAUCCAUUUCAUCCUCAAUCUUAUCAUCGAUCUCAUUCUCAAACUUAUAUCAAUCUCAUUCUCAAUCUCAUAUUCAAUAGUAUUUAAACUCACUCAUAAUCAUCUUUCAUUAUCAUAUUUAAUUACCAUUCAUCAUCACAAUCACCCUCAUCAUAGAUUACUCCUCGUUUUGUUCAUUAUCAUCUAAUUCACUAACUUAGCUCUUUAGGUUUUGUUCUCAACUCCUCUAUCCUUAAUUCCAUCGACAUCAAACUCGUAUAAGAAUUAUAAAGAUUUAGAAGACUCGAGAAAUGGUUGAAAGCUUAAAAACUCAUUUUUCAAAAAAUUGUGGUGGUCGCGUACGUAACCCAUGUUCGCAUACGAACGAGUGUUGGCAGUGGCCAACACCCGCGUACGCACGAUGAGUUCUGCGCACGCAUUACAUAUCAAAACUUGAAAAAUUCUGAUAUGUUGCAGAAACCAAUUCUUUCAGCCCAAAGUUCAAACCUUCAUAACUUUUUCCAGAAAACUCAUUUUUCAACCAUUCUUGAACCGUUAGAAAGAUCGAUAACUUGAUAUUCAGAAAAAUCAAAUUUUGUAAAGUUUUUCCAACUCCGAGGGUCGAGUCAUAACCUGCUGAAGUUAGCCAAAAAUCAAUUUGAACAAUAUAUAAGUUACCAACCUUUCCAAAGAUUCACAAGCCUUAUCAGUUUCUACUCAAUAUAAUGAUUUCCAAAACCUUCCCAAAUCACUCUUUCAUAAUCGACCAAACUCAAAUCAUCCAAUUCACGUCUCAACUCCUCAAUCAAAACUAAUUAUCACUAAUCACAUCUCAUUCUCAAGCAUGACCUUCAAACUCACACUUCUAUUCCCAAACCCUUAAAUUUAUAAUUAAUUUACGUAUUAAUAUCCUUAGCUAGUUAUCUAAAUCUCUUCUCGUUGUCAUUAAAAUCACAUAAAUUAAAAUCAUAAAUCAACCAAAUCAUAAAAAUCCGAUUCUCUUUGAAAUCAUUUAAAACAUUCAAAACUUGUCUCUUUGACAAUUAAUUCAAACCAAACUCAUUUUCGAAAUCAUAACUAAAACAACUCCAAAUUCUUAGAAAAAUUUUGGCAACACCUCCCUUAAAAACUGGAGUUUGCCGCCCAUCACAGGUCCCCUCUUUUCAAUCCUCAACACAACCAAAACCAGCCUCUCAAUUUAACAUUUCCAAAUCCGUUAUUCAAAACCAUUCAUUAUCAUUUCAAUAUAAAAUCCAAAAAUCAACGUAUUAAAUCAAUUUUACCAGAAACUCAGAAAUCAACCAAUAAACAACAAACAUAACCUUUCAAUCACAGUAGAAAAUCAUUUACAUCACAGGCAUUCAUCUGCUAAACUUAUAAGGUAUUCAAAGCCCAAAACAUUUUUAUUUUAAAACAAACCCCCUACCUCAAAAGUCGAACCCCUUUUUAUUCUUAACUUGCGGCAGUGACCUCAUUGACUUUCAGGCAAUAUCAACAGCGACAAUCAAGGUUCACAGCAACGACAACUUAUCUGACAUAAACUGGGAUUCAAGUGAAAUGGAUAUUAAAUGAAAUUAGAACAUAAUUGUUAAUAGAGUAUUAUGGUAAAUAGGAACGGAACCAAUUAGUCUCACCACGAGAAACGAAGCAGGACGAUAUCGCAGCAGUUUUUAUUUUAAUCAUACAAUUUUCAAAACUCGACCUCGGGAUAUUAACAUCACGAAAUUCUCAAUAAUUUGUAGCCGAAUAAUAGAGGUAAGGUUUUCAAGACUAGAAUAACUCACUGCAGCUAAAGAGAAAUGAGGCAACAGAGCGGUAGCAACUCCAGCAGCUACCUUGAAUGACGGCGGCAGCCUGAAUCUCUACUGAUAGCAACUGUAACAACCAGGCAGCGACAAUAAUGUUUCCAGAAUUCAAAAGGACAGAAACCAAAUUCAAAAACCUUACCGACAAUGGACCUCAGCUACCACAGCACUUUUUUCCGGUGACGGAGCACGCGACGGUGACGGCGCGAGACUCGGCGACGGUGACGCGAUGGCUCGCCUCCUUCCUCGCGUCGCAUCGUCUCUGUCUCUCUCAAUCUCGGUGUUGCUCUCCCUUUCUCCUUCGAUCUCGACGGCAUCGGACCCACAGCGACGGCGGCAGCGAGGAUAAAUGGCGCAAACACAGCACCGACAACGCUCUCCUUUCUCUCUUCUCCUCUCCACGUUGGCGCCAGUAACGAUGGGCAGCUGGGCGGCGACGACGACACGACGACAGUGAUGUCUGCCGACGCCGUCCUCCCUCUCUUCUCCUCUGUCUCUGUUUCUCCCUCUUUCCCGCCGCUCUCUCUUUCCCCCUUCUUGCUCCCUUUUCUUUCUUUCUUUCUUUCCUGAAGGGUGACGGCUAGGGUUAAAGGGUUAGGGUUUUGUCGGUUUGAUUUUAGGGUUAUGGUUUUAUUUGGAGAAAAUGUGAAAUUAGGGAUAUUAGAAAAAUAUAAUUAAAUUAGGGUUAUGGUUUUAUUUGGAAAAAUUGGAAUUUAGGUAUUUUUAAUAAAACUAGGGAUAUUGUAUUAAAUUUAAAUCUAAUUUAAUCUCUAAAUAUUAUUUUAAAAAAUAUUAUUUAAUUAUUAAUUUGCUAAUUAACUCUCAAUCAAGUAUUCUAAUUUAAAAUAUAAGAUAAUAUAAUUUUUCCGAAAAUUCUGGGUCUUACAGAUGACACUAGUAAUAUGGACAACUCCGUCCAAAUGAUAAAGAUGGUCUGGGAUAUCUCUUAUUAGCAAAGUAUUUGAAUGUUGGAGUCUUUGGGCUGAGGUAUCUCUGGAAUUUGGUGGGAUUGAAUUUUUGAAUUGUAGUUCAAAUGAGCUAAAAUCAAACUCUAUUUAUAGCAAAACUAUUAGUAAAUCGAAUGAGACUCAUUCGAAUUACGAUGGGCGCACAUUGUAUGUAAUUUGAAGCUGCCUAAAUUGAAUUACUAUGUGUAGCAAACUAUGGAUAAAUCGAAACAGGUUGUUUCGAAUUAUUGUGGGCGUACGUGCAUGGGCAAAUCGACCUAUACUACUUCGAUUUACUAGCUGAAUCACGUGCAUGCAUAAAUCAAUACAAUGUGAUUUGAUUUACUAUGAUACGUUACAUGCAUGCAUAAUUCGAUUCACCCUGCUUCGAUUUGCAUGUUUUCAACGUAAUUCGAUUUGGGCUGGUUCGAUUUAGUAGGAAAAUUUGUAAAUCGAACACGCCUCAUUCGAUAUAUAUAGAUACACCCAUUUGGUAGAUCAACGUAACGUUUUUUGGUUUGGGUGAUGAUUUGUGUAAUAUAGGGUUGCAUUUGGUUUAUUUAUGCAUUUUACCCUAUUUUUAAAUAGUGAAUAAUAUGAAUAAAUAGUAACAAGUACGUAUAUAUAAAUAGUAAUAUACGGUAAUUGUAAAUAGUAAAAUAUAAUAUCUGUAAAUAGUAAAAUACAGUAUCUAUAAAUAGUAAAAUAUGGUAUAGCAACAUAUAGAAAAUGACAGUUUGGCAAAAUAUUAGUAUUGACAGAAAAUAACUACAAACAUAGUGUCUACUCUUAGAUUGAUUCUAAUGAAUGGACGGUUAUUUUAUGUAUCAACUAUUUUUUGGUCGGUAUAGUUAUAGCAGUAACUGAAGUUUCACAAAAGUAAAGAUAUUUUAAUCUUUGACAGAAACUCUUCUAAAAAACUUUAAGAGAAAGAAAAUAACAUUAAGAGAAAGAAAAUAACAUGUGUAUGUGUGUGGUACGAAGAAUUGAGAGAGAGAAAUGGGUCCAUACAGGGGAGGGGGAGGUGCUGUUCGUAGAGGAAGAAGAAAAGAAAUUUAAUAAAAUAUUUGAUGCACGGGCACCGGUUGCCAUGAGUCCGCGAAUGGUAAUACCUCACCAAUAGAGAGUGUAGGGCAAGGCGAGUCCAGCCUUCACAGCCUUGGCAAUGACGUGCAGGAGCAUGACGCCGCUCUCCACUGUGAUGGUCUUGGCCUCUGCAUCGACCUUGAGUACCUUGUUGAGACUGUUGGUGCUUAUGAGCAAGCUAUCUUUGCCGUCCAGGCAUGCCAGCUUGGGGAUAUGCUGUGGGAGAGUAGCGGGUGGCGGCUUUCAUCUUUCUGUUAUUCUUGGUGGCUGUGGCCACUAUGGAUAUGAGCUUUUCUCUGUGCUUAGGUACUUCAUCUCUCUUGCUUCGCAGAUUCUUCUAUUAGGGAAUAUGCCAAUGAAGUUGGUUAUCGUGCAGUUUAUGUUCUUUGAUGUGCACUUUACUAGGUCCUCUAGAGGGCUUGAUAUCACUCCGUUAUUCACACAUAGGACCAUUAUUACAAAGAUGACAACAUGAUUGGAUUUCAUCUUUCUAGAGUACAUCAUUGUAUUUUGUACUUUGUGAUGAUGCUAUCUAGCUAGGUUAUUAUUGUUGAACUCUGAUGAUCUACAUUUAUGUACUACUAGAUAAUCAACUAGGGUAUUAGCCAACUACAAACAAGUAUUAGUUGGGCUGCAAAAAAGAUCAGAAAACACAAAAUAUGUAAUCCAUCCCAAAAUGUUAAUUUUACUACCACAAUAAAAAAACAAAAACCAUCUAAAACCCUAAUCACUUCACUUCACUCUCCCACAUCUUUCUUCCAAAAAAAAGCCUCCUUCCGCAGCGCUUUCCUCCGCCGUGCAUGCACUUCCUUCUGCCGUGUGUGUGCUUCCCUCUACCGCGCCCUUGCUUCUCUCCGCCGUGCAUUCGCUUUCCUCCACUGUGCCUUUGCUUCCUUCCGCCGCAUUGUUGCCCCUCUUCCGCGUGUCUCUCUCUGACGUGGUCAGCCUCUUCGCCUUGCUCAUCUUCCUUUACACAUAAUUAUCAAUGACAGAACCUUAUUUUUUGGAGGUUUUGGAUGUUGACUUUUCAGAGUUUUUAGAUGUUGAUGAUUGUUAUGUUUGAUUUUUUGGAUAUUUCUUGAUUUAAGAAAAAAAAUCCAAAACAAAAAAAAGCAUCCAAAAUAUAAUAAAAGAAACAUAUAAAACUAAAUAAAAAGAAACAUCUAAAAUUAUUAUAGAAAGAAUAUUUAAAACCUAACAAAAAGAAACAUUUGAAAUGUAGCAAAAAGAAAUAUCUAAAAUCAUUGUAUAAGAACUUCCAAAGAUCCGGAGAAGAAGUCGUGGAGGUAGGCGUAGAGAGAGACGCAGAGAGAAAUAAGAAGAGGAAGAAGAAGUGACAUGGAAGGAGAGAAGAGAGAUGAACGGGGUGGACGGGCAUGUGGUUUUUUAGCGUAAAAUCAAUUUUUAAAAUUUUAAAACUGUAAUUUUUUGAAAAAUUAACUGCUUAGUUACAUAUAGAGUUGGUUCGAUAGACUUUUUCUUUUUUGACUAAUAUGGAGAGAAUGGAACCAUGGAACCAAAGAAUAUAUUAUAUUAAAGGAUUUUUUCUGAAAUAAAAUAAAAAAAUUAUUAUUUUUUCAAACACGAUUUUUGAACUUUAAUUCUCCAAAUACGAUUUUUUUUAGAGCAAGUUCGCUGCAUCCGACGAACUCUAUAAAAAUUAUAAAGUUCGUCUUACCCUCUCCCGAACUCCAUUCAAAUUUAUAGAGUUCGCCUUACCCUCCCCCGAACUCCAUUCAAAUUUUUAAAAAGCUUUUAAUCCAUAUCGUCGUCUCUAAAAUAGUAUAUAGAUCUCCAAACAGUAUAUAAGAGUACACAAAAAUACACCGACAACAAACAUGGCUUCUUCAAGGAUUUUUUUUAAUUAUAAAUUUAAAAAAAUAAGCCAUAUUUAACAAUGAUAAAUAUAUCAGAUUGAGUUUAGAAAGUUAACAAUGGUAACUAUUAUCAUCAUCUUCACAUUGGUUGCCAUUGCCACCAACAAUGUUGAAGAAAUCAUACUUGUUGUCUGUGUAUUUUUGUGUACUCCUCUAUAUACUGCUUGGAGAUCUAUAUACUAUUUUGGAGACGAUAAUAUCGAUUAAAAGCGUGGGUUUUUAAAAAUUUGAAUGGAGUUCGGAAGAGGGUAAGGCGAACUCUAUAAAUUUAAAUGGAGUUCGGAGAAGGGCAAGGCAAACUUGCUCUAAAAAAAAUCGUAUUUAAAAAAAUUAAAAUUUAAAAAUCAUAUUUGGAGAAGUAAUAAUUUUUUUUAUUUUAUUUCAAAAAAAAAUCCAUUAUAUUUGAGUAAUGUUAUAUGGUUAGUAUGUUUUAUUUUUUUUAUCGACAAUUACUUAAUAAUAUUUAAAAAUAUUAGUUAAAAGAAUAAUAAUAAAUUGUUAGACUAAAAAUAUUAANNNNNNNNNNNNNNNNNNNNNNNNNNNNNNNNNNNNNNNNNNNNNNNNNNNNNNNNNNNNNNNNNNNNNNNNNNNNNNNNNNNNNNNNNNNNNNNNNNNNNNNNNNNNNNNNNNNNNNNNNNNNNNNNNNNNNNNNNNNAUUCUAACUGUUUUUUUUUUAUCUCCUUAAUAUUAUCAUUAUAAAAAAUAUUAAACUCCUAAUAUUUGUGAACAUUGAUUUUCUCGUUAAGUAGCUUGUAAUUAAACUUUUGCAAAUUUACCAGCUAGUUUUAUGUACCAAAUUGAACGAACUAAUUACUUGUAAAUAUGAAUAGGAUUACAGUAGGAUAAAAAACUUCAUUAAUUCAAAUAAAAUUUCAAGUUUACUAUUUUAGUCAAAAUUUAAUCUUUCAAUAAUAGUAGUAUCAAAAUUUCUAAAUCCACAAAUAAACACUUUUUAAGUUUGAACUAAAUUCACAUAAUUUUUACCGUUUUUUUUUUUCUCUCAACAAUCAUCUUGUGUUUUGUGUAUGGUUUAUUUUUUCAAUUAAAUAGGGUAAAAAAGAGAAAAUAGAUAAAUGAAAAAUGAGUAACAUGAAAAACUAAACCUAAUUAACAAUAGAAAAAAAUAUAGAGAACUAAUUAGCCAACAUUAAUAUUUAUAUUUAUAAUUUAGGAUUUAAUUAUAAAUUUAAAGAUUAAUGAUAAUAGAAUUGGUAGCUAAAUAGAUAGUCACAGCAAUGUAAUUGCACUCAACGAUUCAAUUUAGCAAUGGGUAAGCCUAAACCCUUAUUGUUGCGUGCUGUUACCAAAUUCAAUUUGCAUUGUCCCUGCCCGCCCCAUCAGGUGCUGCAGAGAAACAGAGUAUUCCAAGCCAGACAGCCUUUUAAUUCAGCCUUCAUUCAAUUUUUUACUCUAAUAAUAUUAUUGAAUUAAUUUUUUAAUUAAAUCAUUAAAGUUGUUAUUUUUGUAAUUUUAUUUUUAUUUUUUCUUUCUCAAUUUACCGUGCAUAUAUCGUCAUCAUUGUUGUAUUAUUACUGUAUUUUCGCCGUCAUCACUUUUUUUUAUUAAAACAAAGCACAUCUUUCUUUUUUCAUUGAUAGUUGCAUUUGCAUAUCUUCUUUUUUACUAAUAAACAUUAGUUUUUUUCGUAUUAUAAUUUAAUUAAAAUAAAAUAAAACAAAAUGACGAAUUAAUAUAUACAUAGAUUCUCCAUNNNNNNNNNNNNNNNNNNNNNNNNNNNNNUAUAAUACAUCAAAUUUAAUAACAAAUCUAAAAUAAUAUGAUAGUAUAUAAAAUAUUUUUUGAACACCUUCAAAACUCAUACAAACUCAUGGUUAUAAUUUUUAUUAUUAAAUUUUUGAGAAUACUACAUGACUAGCAAAUAUUAUUAUUUUUUGCCAGUAAUAAUGUGUAUCUAGCUAUAUUUACAAAUAUUUUGCACAUAACAAAUAUAUAAUUUGUAUCUAUAUUUAUUAUAAUUUUGCACACAUAAAUCAAUACAAUUUAUAUCUAAAUUUUUUUUGAAUUUACACACAUAAAUUAAUAAAAUUUAUUUAUUAAAAAUAAUUUAGUAUUUAUACUAAUUAAAUGAUGACAAAAAAAUACUAAAAAUUGUUAGCUCCAAGAAUUUUUCUAAAUCUUUAUUAUUACACAUCUUUUUUUUUCCAAAGAUAAUAGGUUAUAUUUCAUUAAUUAUUAAAAAAUGAAAUACAAAGAUAUCCAAAAGUAGAACAGCAUAAUAAAAUGUGGGGAUUUCCCAAAAACACUACAUUGAAGGUAUUCAUCCAAUGGUGCGUGAUCGAAAAACGAAAAAAAAAUCUUAAAGAAGAAAUAAUGAUAAAUCAAAUUGAAUGCAACUAAGAGCUUGUCUCAUGGAGAUUACGACCUAAACUGGGAGUUCUUUGGAUUUCACGAAGUAACUUGACAGAGCUUGCUAGAAUGGCAGACAGCAUAGAAGUAGAACCUUCAAAAAUCAACUGGUUGCGAGCUUUCCAGCAAUUCCAGCAAAUGAUGGCAAGCAAUUGAGGAUUACGGUCAGCAUUCUUCAACGGGUUAAGUAUCUCUGUUGAUGCAGUCCACCAUGUCCAAAAGUCGUUAGAACUCUGAGGGGGAAGACAGUCACGAAGAUAACUCUGAGACCAUACGUCUUUAAUUCUAGAGCAAUCGAUCAGACAAUGAGUGACUGUUUCCGUUGCUUCAUGACAGCAAGGGCAUAUUGGUGAUAUAGAUGGGAUGCGGUGAUGAAUCUGAGCAAGCACCGGAAGUCGGCCAUGGAGAGUUUUUCAGAUAAAUAGCUUAAUUUUGUGAGGCAAGUUCAACUUCCAUAGAUCAAUCUACGGCUUUUUCUGCUGCAUAUAAUUAGGGCAAAGCUCCAGAGGCGGAUGGUAAAAUAAAUAGCCAAUUCUAUAACCUGAAGCUGUAUCAUAUUGCUUAGAUUUGUUCAAAUCUCAUUGCAAUUUGUCCCUACUCUGCUGAAUUUUAACUGACAAAAUCCUGUUUGCAACGUCUUGGGGAAAUAAUUCUUGAAUGAGAUUCUGAUUCCAAUUUCUAUCUUCAGUAAUUAGAUCUUUAACUCUUGGAACCAACUCAGAAAUAGCCUGUCUAUUUGGCAUGUCAGAAAUCAUUAAAGGAUACGGAGGAGGCAGCCAAGGAUCCUCAAAGGUUCGGAUAUUCUCACCAGUACCCACAACUCAAUUAAGACCUUUUUCAACAAUCUUUCGGCCUUCCAGUAUGCUCCUCCAUCCCCAAGAAGGUAAGACUCCAAUUUCUGCCGUUAUAGCAUUACCAUUGCUAAAGUAUUUACCUCUUAAGAUUUUGGAUAAUAAGGAAGUAGGCUGUGUUACAAGUUGCCAAAACUGUUUGCCUAAAAGUGCCAGAUUUUGGAUUCUGAGAUCUUUAAAUCCAAGGCCUCCUUCUUUUCGUGGGCGAGUCAUAGUGUCCCAGCUAAUCCAAGCCAUCCUCCUUUCAGAACCUUUUUGUCCCCACCAUAACUGAGAAAGUAGAGAGUGAAUUUCCGAAAUUAAACCAUCAGGCAACUUAAAGCAAGACAAUAUAUAAAUAGGAAUAGCUUCUCCCACUGCCUUAAGCAAUACGUGUCUACCACCUGACGAAAGAAGAUUGCGCUUCCAUCCUUGGAUUCUUUUCCAAACCUUUUCUUUGAUCAUACUAAAAGAAGCCUUUUUCGAUUUAGAGACUGUAGAAGGCAAACCAAGGUAUUUAUCCUGAGCCCCAAUAUGAUUAAUAUUCAUAGAGUUAGCCAGUAGUGUACGAGUAGUGGACGGAGUGUUGUGGCUAAAGAAUACAGCAGAUUAUUAAGAUUUACCCUCUGGCCACUGAUGCUUUCAUAAGAAUUCAAUAAAUGCAAGAUAUUUGAACAUGCUUCAGGAUUAGCCUUACAGAAUAAAAUGGAAUCAUCAGCAAACAGGAGGUGGUUGACCUUGGGACAUCGCAUAUGUAUCUGAAGACCCUGAAUUAGUCUGUUUUGUUCUGCCUUGUGUAACAAGAAGGAGAAACCUUCUGCACAAAAAAGAAAAAGAUAGGGGGAUAGAGGAUCUCCUUGUCGAAUACCUCUAUUUGGUUUGAAGAAACCAUAAGGUUGUCCUUCCACAAUAACAGAAUAAGAAACAGUUGUCACUAAUUCUCGAAUCCACAUGAUCCAUCGGGAGUCAAAACCAAACUUCUCCAAUAUAAACCAAAGAAAGUGUCAUUCCACCCUAUCAUAUGCCUUACUCAUAUCUAAUUUUAGCGCCAUUUUAUUUUCGAGACCCCUUUUUGUUCUUCAAGUAAUGCAUACACUCGUGAGCAAUUAGGAUAUUAUCAGAGAUUAAUCUGCCUUUAAUAAAAGCACUCUGCGUAGGGCUAAUUAGUCUAUUCAUCAUACCCUGAAGCCUAUGUACAAAUACUUUGGAGAUAAUCUUGUAAAAGACUGAAGAUAGACUUAUUGGUUUUAUCUGAGUCAUAUCUUUAGCAUCAGAAAUCUUGGGAAUAAGACAGAUCUGAGUGUGGUUAAAACCCUUCAAGAUUCUACCCCCAGAAAAGAAGCUCUUAACUGCUCAAAAUACAUCACCACUAAGUAUGUUCCAGAAGCUUUGAAAAAAUUUUGCUGUCAUACCAUCAUCUCCUGGAGCACUUUGAGGAUGAAUGCUAAAUGUUGUGCGUUUCACUUCCUCCAUAGUCACUGAUCUUUGAAGCCUACGGUUCAUGUGAGCUGUAACCUUAGGUUCAAAAUCAAUAAACAGAGGUUCAGGGUUCUCAUGACAAGUGGAGGAAAAGAUGUCCUUGAAAUAAGAUUCAGCCACAGAAGCAAUACCAACAUUUGAAGUAGCCACUUCACCAUCACUGCCAGUUAGUUGCCAAAUUCUAUUCCUUCGGGUUCGGUUUCUAAAUUUCUGAUGGAAGAAAGCUGUAUUCUGAUCACUAGAUUUGAGCCAUUUGACUCUAGACUUAUCUUUCCAAUAAGAUUCCUCAUUUUGCAAUGCUUUUUCAAGUUUGUCCUCUAUUUCUGAAAUGAUGUCGCCUCCAUGAAUUCCUGCUAAACGAAGUUCCUCUAAUUCCGACUGUAGUAAAUCAAUCUCCACCUUCGAAUUAGAUCUGUGUUCUUGCUGCCAUCUGACAAUCUUAUGCCGACAACGCUUUAUUUUUUGAGCUAGGAUAUACAUGGCUGAACCAUCAAUCUGUUCAUGCCAAACCUCUCUAACAAUCUGCCUUAUUUCAUCAUUGGAACACCAUCUUUCUUGGAAUUUGAAUCGGCGUUUAGAUCUCUCAGUUCUCGGAUUAGAGUAUAGGAGAAGAGGGCAUGAUCCGAGCCUGAUUCUGACAGUCUAAGAACCGUUGCAUUGGGAUAGAGUUGCUGCCAAUCAACUCCUACCAGGAAUCGGUCCAGUCUUUCCUGUAUCAACUCAUCACCCCUCCGUCUAUUUGAUCAAGUGAAUGGUCUUCCGACCAUACCAAUAUCAAUCAGGGAAUUAUCAUCAAUAAAACUAUUAAAGGUUUCAAUAGGAGAAGGAGAUUUAGCACCCUCACCUUCUUUCUCCAAUUGAUUAGAAAUGUCAUUAAAAUCCCCCAUUAACACAACCUUACCAUCGAACUGUUGGGUGACUGAAGUUAAUUCAGCAAAUUGAGCCAUUCUAUGUUGAUCAUUUGAACUGAGAUAAACACCUAGAACACCAUAGGGAUCAUUAGAACCAGCUGUCAGAACUGAUGCCGCAAUGAAAAAUCUACCAUGCUGUAAAAUCUGAACAGUGCAACCAUCCCUCCAUGCCAUUGCCAAACCCCCUGAUAAUCCAUCCGGAUCUACAAUAAACCAUUCCUUGAAACCACAAGAUGUUAGUUUUCCUUCAACUUGUCGAGAUUGAUUUUUUGUUUCACAGAUAAAACCAACCUCGGGGGAGUAGGAUUUGCAAAUCCCUUUAAGAUUGUGGAUUGUCAGGGGCCUCCCCAAACCCCGACAAUUCCAUGAGAGCAGUUUCAUAUUUCUUUGGGUGCCACUUGAAGGCCGGCACCCUCCACCGUCAUAGCAAUUAUAUGAGGGUUCUGAGUCUCUUAUUUGUUGCUCAUGGUGUAGAGAAAAUCAGAAUUGGUAUUCAAUGAUUCCAAAGAGACAUAAGAUAUAUGGAAUGAGUGAAUUAGAAAACGGAAUGAAUUAAAAGAGGAAUGAAUUGGGAGAGAAAACGAAAAUUAGGGAGCUAAGUGGAAAAGAAAUUAAGAAAAGAAAGUAGAAGAAGAUGGAAAAGAGUUUGCCGAAGAAAAGACAAAAAAAGGUGUAACCAUGGAGGCGGUGCAGUGAAACUGUUGGUUUAUGGUAUAACCAGAAAUAUUUAGGACAGAGAUAUAAGAAAAAUACGUAGGUGAAAGGAAUGGGAAUCACUCAUUUUUACUUUACUGAAGCAGUACAUUUAUAGGAUUUUAAUCCAUGACACUACCACAUCACCACUAAACUAGGAAGUGGGAUGAACAGAAACUGCCACAUACCCACUAGAUAAGGAAGUGGAAUAACAAAAACUACUUUUCUCCUAAAGUGCAGGAACCACUAAUUGACUAAAACAACAAACUGAAACAAUAAUAAAAAAAACUUAAUGCAGUCCAAAAGCAAAUAAUUAACACUCCUCCUUGCUUUAGGAUCUGCAAACUCCAAUUUUCUGCCUCAAUAGCUCAAACUUGCUGACAGGAAGUGGCUUUGUAAACAAAUCUGCCUUUUUCCAUUUUGGAUCCUUGAGUGCUUCUUCACAGCAACUAGGUUCGCAUACUACUACAUUGCAUCUUUGAUAAAUGUCUGACAGCAGUCUUGUGCCUCUGAUGGGAUGAUCAUCUUCUAAUUCAUUUUGACACAACUCUGUUGUUUGGUUUCCGCCAUAAUCAUCUUCAAUAUUGUUACAAGGUUCAAUUGUUUUUCGUGGGUUCUUCCAAUCCCAUUGUUGAUCUUCAUUGAAAUGGACAAGCUUUUUACAAAGCCUAUGCUCAAUAGGUGUUCAUUUAUCCUACUGUACCAAGCUCUUGGUGCUUGUUUUAAUCCAUAAAGGGCUUUUUUUAGUAGAUAGACUUUAUCUUCUUCUCCAUGCAUAACAAAUCCCUCUGGCUGCUCCACAUAUAUCUCUUCUUGUAAAACUCCAUUUAAAAAAGCUGAUUUGACAUCUAAAUGGAAUACUUUCCAGCCUUGUUGAGCAGCAACUGCUAACACCAAUCUAAUUGUAUCUAAUCUGGACACCGGUGCAAACGUGUCAGAAUAAUCAACACCAAAAAUUUGUGCAUACCCUUUUACUACAAGUCUGGCCUUGUAUUUAUUGAUAGAGCAAUCCGCAUUAAGCUUUGUUCUGAACACCCAUUUAACUCCAAUAACUUUUCUGUCUUAAGGCUUGUCAACCUUUUUCCAUGUGUUGUUUUUUUGAAUCAUUGAAAUCUCAUCCUCCAUUGCCUUUUUCCAUUUUGGAUCCUUGAGUGCUUCUUCACAGCAACUAGGUUCGCAUACUGCUACAUUGCAUCUUUGAUAAAUGUCUGACAGCAGUCUUGUGCCUCUGAUGGGAUGAUCAUCUUCUAAUUCAUUUUGACACAACUCUGUUGUUUGGUUUCCGCAUACCUUAGCUUGUAUAUUUGAACUUAAUGGGGCAAGAGUUUUAUGAAAACGUGUAUUCUGAGUAUGAAUUAUUCAAAGAUGGAUAUUUUUAUUUCGUUGCUAUCCUUCGCUAAUUAAUUAAGAGGACCCAGGUCGAUUAAAUUGGCUCUGUAUUUUACAGUUCCAUAUAUAAUAAAAUGAUUUUUUUUUUUCAGAUUUCCGUUUGCUUACAUGUGGAAGGUUCCUUUGUUUUUUUCACGGUGCACACAAAAGAAAAAAAAAAUUAGUUAUUUCCCUUCCCUUGCCUCCUCCAGUUUAGACGACUAAUAGCAACAAUUGAAAGACAUCACAAUUUAUAAUACUGAAGAUUAAAUUAAUUACGUUAUAUUAAAUGUAUUUUAUGUUAUUUUCUUUAUUUAAAGCAAAAUUGUUUAUGUUUCCACUAUAUCGUCUUAAUUAUUAGAUAAAAAAGCAACUAAUUUGCAAUUAAAGAAAAAUUUAAGUCAAUUAUAUCGUAAAAAAACUUAUAUAUAUUAUGAAAAUUUAAGCGCAACACAUAUAAGAAUGAUAAAAUAUCAAAAUAAAAAACACAUUAAAAUUUGACAGUGAUAAAAUUAAAUAUGCUUGAACAACAAUUUACUCACAGACACUCAAAAAAAAAAAAUUAAUUACUCCAUUAUCCUCAACUAAUUUUAAUUUUUUUUAUUUAUUUUAUAUUUAAAAUUAUAAAUUUUUAACCUUAAUUAGACUCUAAAUUAUAAUUUCUAAACCCUAAAUUCUUCAUAAAAUAAAAAUUUUUAGAAUUAAAAAAAUUGACUAAUGUUAACGAAUUAAAAAUUAAUUUCUAAUACUUUUUGACAUAAAAAGAAAAAGAAAAACAUUUUUUUUUUCAAUUAGUAGAAAACAUAACAUUUAAGUUAUAUUUGUUUCUAAGCAUAAGAUGCUAAAAUAUAAACACAAAAAUAUAAAAUUAUAUUUGAGAGAUGUUAAAAGAGACAGAGACAUACCUCAAAAUAUGGAAUUAGUGUAUUUUGUAUCUUUACGAACAGAAAUAACACAAACACUAAUUUAUAAUUAUAAUUUGUUUUUUUACUAAGAGAUACAAUUUAUUUUUUUAUAUUUUUUCUUUCAUUAUUUCUAUUAUCUUUUAUAAUUAUAAAUUUUAUUAUUAUAUUUUUCUUCUUAAAUANNNNNNNNNNNNNNNNNNNNNNNNNNNNNNNNNNNNNNNNNNNNNNNNNNNNNNNNNNNNNNNNNNNNNNNNNNNNNNNNNNNNNNNNNNNNNNNNNNNUUAAAUAUUUUGGAUAAAAAAAUAAAUUAAAUUUUUAAAAUUUAUUCUUUCUUAUAUUUAACUUAUCAUCAAAUAAAAUAAUUUUGUGUCUUUAUUCUUUAUAUCUCAUCCUCAAAAUCUUUAUCUUAUUUUGUUAUGAGAAUCAACGUGUCUUAUAUUAUGCACGCUAGACUGCUAGAGUCCCUUGGGAUGCCUAGUCAUACGAAUAUUAUAGCCCAUGUCUUCAGUUUUUACAGCCUCACUCUUCUUAAUUUUGUUGUUGUGAGGCUUCAGCUGCUGCGAUUGUUUUGGUUAAGUUCAUUCCCUUGGAGAUAUUCUUAGGUUUGCUGAGAUCAGCCAUGUAGAUCGAUAUAUCAAUCAAUGCAAUCGAUCAUAAUAAUAGUAAUAAUCACUACCAGAAAUGCGGUGAUUAGCCACGGAAAAAAUCGUGGCUAAAAUCAAGAAAUUCCGUAGCGAUUAAGCUUUAACAACGAAUACAUUUCCGUGGCUAACAAGGACGACGCCUUUUCAGUUAGCCACGAUUUUCAUCCGGUUAGCCAUAGUUUUAUGAUCCGUAGAGACAUCUGAAUAGCCACGGUUUUUACGUUAUUGGCCACACUCUAAACCGUAGCUAAAUGACAACAGUGUAACCAAGUAUAGCUUUGCGACAAUUUUUCCGUGGCUAAUAUUGGUAAGCUGGGCUUUUUUGCCACAUUUUUUCCGUAGCCAAUAUUGGUAAGCUGGGCUUUUUUGCUACAUUUUUUCUGUGGCUAAACAUUGUUGGGUUAUUUAGCCACGAUUUUUUCGUGGCUAAUCAUAAAAGAUAAAUUAAAAAAUAUAUAUAUAUAAAAUAAAGAUGCUACUUAGAACAAAAUUAUAUUAUACAAAAUUAAAAAGAUUAGCCAUAUCCAUAUAAGUAAUAUUUUUAGUAAUAAAAAUAUGAAAUUUAAGUAACAAUGUUGAAAAGCAAAUAUCCUGAACUAAAUGAGUUUAAACUAUUACAAAAUCAAGUAUCAAAAUGUAUCAUUAUUAGAUCUCUAAGGUCUUCAUUGGAAUACUUGCAAAAACAUUCAAAUAAGAUUGUGUUAUCUCUUAAUUCAUGAAAAAAAGUCCCAAGACAUUAUUUAAAAUAAUAUUUUAAUGUAGUUAAAAAAAAGUAGGAAUGCAUACCAAUAAUGCUGAGUUUUCAUUUUCACAACAUAAAACAUCUUAUUGAACCCGUCAUCAAUCAAUAUAUAUAUUGCUAGACUUGAUAUCCUGGUGAACAACUUUCAAUUCAAUUGCUUCAUACAAGUAAAUGAGCAAGCCUGUCAUGAAUAAAGAUAAAAUAGAUAGUGAUAUUAAUGAUAUUUUCUCAUAUUAAAACUUAACUAUAGUAUUAUUUAACGAGACAAACGAAUACUAUUAGCGAGAUAUUGGAUUGCAAUCAAAACCAUUUAGAGAAAAAGAACUUAAAGUAAAAAUAAAAAUGUGUUAGAAAUUACUAAGGUCAAUAUUUUAAAGUAGAAAGUUGAGCUUACCAGGUAACUAUCGAAUAAAACUUUCAUGCGGACCUCCCAGGUAAGUGUCCCUUGUUCCAUGGCAACAUGCAUCCAUUACUCUAAGUUACCAUUAUUGACAUAUUCAUCCAUUAGCAGCUUAAAUAUUGAAACAAACACUAAAGCAAAAAUACUAUUGAUAAUACAAAGAAAUAGAUAAUUAGAUACUAUGUACUCGAAAAUUGUGAGAGCACAUAUAAUAACUUAAAGAAGUGCAACUUUAUUCAACGUUGGUAUCAGGACCUUUAACACUGUCUUCUACUUAGUUCAAAUUUAUCCAUAUUCAUAUAAGUUUCAAUAAUUACAAAGUUACAAAGCUAAAUUAAAAGUUGAACAAUUUAAAAUAAAACACAAACUUGCAUGGAGAUCCCAGCAUCGACAAGAGACAAAGUUGCAGCAUUGAUACACACAGAUCUAGUUCCUACACAGGAAUAUUGGGGAAGAAUUAGUGAAUGGUAAAAAAAAAUAGUCUUUUAAAUACAAAAAAAAUUAAAGAUUCAAGAGAAUAUUAGAUAAAUAUAAAAAAAGCUGCUUAGGGUUCUUUCCAUUCUUCUUUGUAAUUCAGGAUUACCUGCAAAAUCUUCGAUUUUCGCUAUUUUGGGACCUUCUUUGGUAAUUUAACGUUGAAUUUACUAAGGAUACAGAGAAAAUGAACAAUAGUAUGAACUGUGAAGGAGUUCUUCCAAUUUUCCAGUGAGUGGGCUUUACUUUGGUGUUGAGUGAAAAUUACUUUUAAGUUUUUCGCCCAAAAUUUCACUUGUAAAAGUUCAUUUGAAUUUAUUUCAGUCAAGUAAUUGAGAUUUUUAAUUUAAAUUAAUAGUUAACUAUAAAAAAUAUAUAAAUUAUAAUAUAUACCAUAUUUCAAAGACGAUACAUACUAAUUACUGUUACGUUAAUUUAUGUUGGAUAUUUUUUUUUACUAAAUUGAUAAAAAGAUAAUAAAAAAAUAAAAAAAUUAAAUUUAGAAAAACUAAUGCAUAUUGUAAAUUAGAGACAAAAAAAAUGUACUCUUUUUUAUCAUGAAUUUUAUAUAUACUUUUAACAUUCAUUCUCAAUUAAUUAAAGCAAUAAGUAUGUAUUCUUUUUAUACUAUUUUAACUAAUGCAUCUUCUAGUCACAAAAAAAACUAAUGCAUCUUCGGUUACUCAAUGCUGAAUUUACUAAGGAUACGGAGAAACUGAACAAUAGUCUGAACAUGUGAGAGAAUUCUUCUGAUUUUCUAGUGAGUGGGCUUUACUUUGGUGCUAAGUGAAAGUUAUUUUUUUCCGUCUAAAAUUUUACUUGUGUAUUGUAAAUGUUCAUUUGAAUUUAUUUCAGUCAAGUAAUUAAGAUUUUUAAUUUAAAUUAAUAAUUAACUAUAAUAAAAAAUACAAAAUUAUAAUUAUAUAUCAUAUUUCAAAGACGGUACAUACUAAUUAGGAUUAUGGAUUUUGACUCGAAUUUAAAAAAUAAACGAAAAAAAAUAUUAAAAUUUUGUAACUAUUUCAAAAAUAAACCUACGUUAACUUAUGUCGGAUAUUUUUUUAUUAAAUUAAUAAAAAAAUAAAAAAUAGGAAAAUUAAUACAUAUUGUGAAUUAGGGACAAAAAAAUGUACUCUUUUUAUUAUGAAUUUUAUAUUUUUAUCAUCCAUUCUCAAUUAAUUAGAGUUAUAAGUAUGUACUCUUUUUAUAUUAUUCCAACUAAUGCAUAUCUUAUCAAUUGAAAAUGGCUGGGAAGGAGAGAGAAAAAAUCAUCGACAAACUAGAUAAGUCUGCACCCUUAAAAAUUAAAAUUUAUUAUUAAAGUUUAAAUUUGGAAAAAAUAGGAACUGCCUAUAAAAUUUUUGAAAGGAAUGGAAGGAAACACUAGAAGCGCAUAAUUUAAAAGUAGACAUGUUUGAUUUCGGCUACGGUGAGCAUUGGGUCUGUGGUAAUUGAGAGAAUCCGAUUCAAAUUGGCCACAGACAAACAAGAACGUGGGAAACUUUCGCACAAUUUAACCACGGAAAAGCAAAACGUUGCAAGUGAUUACGACGAUCAUGAAAAUUUGCCACUGUUUUUUGUUCGUGAGUAUUUUCCCGUGGUAAACUAUCGUGUUUCUGGUAGUGAAUAUUGUGAUUGUGAUCAAUGAAAAUGUUCAAUUUGAAAUACAAUAUUCUUGUUUUGGUGUGCUCUUCAAACUCCACAAAAUGACUAUAUAUAGAGAGCGGCUAGGGUUUUAUACAUGACUGACGUGGCAUAUAGUAGCAAUUAACAGGGCAAUUCUCCUUUGGCAAAAUGUGCUUUAAUUUGUAUGUGUAAUUUAGAAAAAUUAAUACAUACUGUGAAUUAGGGACAAAAAAAUGUACUCUUUUUAUUAUGAAUUUUAUAUUUUUAUCAUCCAUUCUCAAUUAAUUAGAGUUAUAAGUAUGUACUCUUUUUAUAUUAUUCCAACUAAUGCAUAUCUUAUCAAUUGAAAAUGGCUGGGAAGGAGAGAGAAAAAAUCAUCGACAAACUAGAUAAGUCUGCACCCUUAAAAAUUGAAAUUUAUUAUUAAAGUUUAAAUUUGGAAAAAAUAGGAACUGCCUAUAAAAUUUUUGAAAGGGAUAGAAAGAAACACUAGAAGCGCGCGUAAUUUAAAAGUAGACAUCGUUUGAUUUCGCCACGGUGAACAUUGGGUCUGUGGUAAUUGAGAGAGUCCAAUUCAAAUUGGCCACAGACAAACAAGAACGUGAGAAAUUUUUGCACAAUUUAACCACGAAAAAGCAAAACGUUGCAAGUGAUUACGACGAUCAUGAAAAUUUGCCACUACUUCUUGUUCGUGAGUAUUUUCCCGUGGUAAACUAUCGUGUUUCUGGUAGUGAAUAUUGUGAUUGUGAUCAAUGAAAAUGUUCAAUUUGAAAUACAAUAUUCUUGUUUUGGUGUGCUCUUCAAACUCCACAAAAUGACUAUAUAUAGAGAGCGGCUAGGGUUUUAUACAUGACUGACGUGGCAUAUAGUAGCAAUUAAAAGGGCAACUCUCCUUUGGCAAAAUGUGCUUUAAUUUGUAUGUGUAACCUAACUUGUCAAAGGAGAUAAGCACCAUAACUGGUUUGAUCCCUACUAAGAAUUUGUUUGGAUGAGUUUCUAAAAAAAAUAUUUUUUUAGUUAUUUUUUUUAAAAAAUCUUAUCAAAAAGUAAAAAUAAUUUUAUGUUUAGGUAUAAUUAACAAUAUAAAAGUACUUUUUUUAUUUAUUAUGUAAAAAAUAUAUUUUUUUUAAAAAAAUAUAUUUUAAAAAAGAUGUAAAUUGUAACUUCUUAAAAAAGAUUUUUUUCUAGUACUUUUACUUUUAUUACUAGAAAUCUGCCAAAUACGUUAAAAAAUAAAGAAAGAACUUUUUUCAAUAAAAAAAUCUUUUUUUAUCAAGAUAAUAACAUCCAAACAAACACUAAAUAUUUAUUCUAUAGUACAAGCAAAAAGCAUUUUUUUUUGGGUAAUGCUAAGGAGAAAAAAAAAACAGCCAGAACUUAUCUUAUUUAGUAUUCAUUAAUUAUCGUAAUAAUUAAUAAAUACUAAAUAAGACAAGUUAUAGUUAUUUUUGGUUAAUUUUCUUUGGUUAUCGAAACAUUUCUCUUUACUAAUUAGAGAAAAUAUCAUUCCCCUUCCCUAUGAGAUACUAAAAUGUCACUCCCUUCCCCUCUAUUUAUAAAAUGUAUAUUCUCCUUCUUUAUAACUUUUAAAAAACUUCAUCUUUAAUUCAUUUUAAAUUUUGUGUGAAUUAAUGUUAAUUUUAUCCAUUUUUCAAGAAAAAAUAAAUUAUAUUUUAUAAAAAUAUCCUUUAGCAAAAAUUUUAUUUUUUGUGAUUAAAUUUUGUAUACCAAAAUAUUCUUUAACAAAUUAUUUUUCUAGUGAUUGAAUUAUAUUCUUACCAAAAUAUUCUUUAAAAUAUUUUGUAAUGAUUAAAUUAUUUUUUUACUAAAAUACCCUUCAAUAUCAUUUUUCUAGUGAUUAAAUUGUGAUAUCAAUACAUAUUAUUUUAACAUUAAAUUAAAGAGAAAUUCUCCACAUACAAGCAUUUUUUUAUACAAGUCUUUACAAGUUAUUAUAUUAACGCGCUUGAACUGUUACUGUACGUUCUUCUUCCUCUUCCUCUUCUUCUUUUUUUAUUUCGUUUCUUGCUUUCUCUUUCUCCUUCAACCGUUACUGCACAAUUUCACUGCACCGUCGUCUUCUUCUUGCUGCACAUUCUUCUUCCUCUUCCUCCUCCUCUUCUUCUUCUUCUUCUUUUCUUUCGUUUUUGUAAAAAAUAAUUUAGUUUUUCUUGAAAAUAGAUAAAAGACAUUAGUUAACACAAAAGAAUUUAAAAUAGAUUAAAAUGAGAUUUUUUAAAAUCUAUAAAAGAGGAAAAUAUACAUUUUAUAAAUAAAGAGAAAAAAAUAUUAUUUUAGUAUCUCCUAGGAGAAGAGUGGUAUUUUCUCUACUAAUGACCAAUCAUUGCACUGUUUUAAAACUACUACACAAAAGUCAAAACUCUUCCCUUCAAAAGGUUAUGUCUUUUAAUUUGCACCACUUCAUAUUGAAAAACCUCCCUAUAAAUAUUAAUAAUUCUUCAUAGCUCCAUCAUUCCAUAACCAUUUCAAGAACUAGAAAGAUGGCAGAAAAAGAAACCGACCAAAUUUCUUCAUUACCCGAAGAGCUUCUUCUCAACAUUCUUUCCUCGCUUCCUUUCAAAGAAGCAGCGAAAACAUGUAUCCUCUCCAAGAAGUGGUUCAAGAUGUGGCAAUCUACCAACACAGUGAAGAACAACCAACUCGAAUGCAAGAAGGUAGAAGCUUAUGGAGCCGUUGAAGUACCGCAAAGGAAGUCUUUCAAGAACUUCAUCAAGAUCUGGAUCACAUUGUACAAAAAUCACCAUCUCCACGACAAAUUCACCCUCAAGGUUUCUCCUCCUUCGAACUGCGGUGACAUCGUUGGAGCCUCCGUCGAUUUCGCCGUAGAGGACGGCGUGAAAGAUUUGGAACUCGAUUUCGCCGAAGCGCAGUGGGAGGACGAACAUCCUGAAGAGAAUAUCCACGAUGCCUCGGUUGAAUUUCCGAGACACCUUUACGAGAACAAGAAACUGCACCAGAUGCUCGAGAGUUUGAAACUGCACUCGUGCAGUUUCGCGCCUGCAAAUUUCGCCAAGUUUGUGGCACUGAAAGAUGUGACUCUUGCUUGGAUUCCGUUGCAACUGGAAUCGAUUAGGACGCUGUUAUCGACGUGCGAGUGGAUCGAGAGUUUGAGCCUGAAGAACUGUUGGGAUAUUGAAUCCUUUGAUGUAAAGAAAUUGGAACUGAAGAAGUUGGUGAUUGAUAGGUGCAUAAUUGGAACAGAUUAUAUUGGUUUUGAGGCGCCAAAUUUGAAGGUUUUCAAGUACUGUGGUUCAGUGCCGCCGGUGUCUGAAGUGAAGGUGGAAGCUGGUACCAUGGAGGAGGCAGAUCUUGAUUUAAGCCCCAUGGAUGAGUUCUUUGAAUGUGGCAACGAACUUCAGAAUUUUCUUCAAGAUUUCUUUGCGGUCAAUGUUCUUACAGUUUGCAGCGUGAUUCUUCAGGUACUUCGUAUAUGUGUGUUAUUGCAAAGGUUUCUUUGGUUUUGGGAAUAGUAAUAGUUAGAAAUGGUAGACUGUAAGACUAUAUUUCAUUACUAAAUUUCUAGCUUUAUAUUUAAGUAUAUAUACUAAUACUAAUAUAGUAACUAAAACGUUUUUUAUAAUUUUAUUAAUUUGUUAAUGAAUGAAAGGUGAUUCCUUCGGGAGAUGAACCCGUGAGGCUACCAGGGGGUUUGAGGGUGAGACACUUGAAGAUGAAAAUCCAAAUGCAUCCCCAAGAAUUUUGCGGAUUCCUUUGGUUUCUCAACAGUUGUCCUAGGUUGACCAAAGUAGCAACAAGCGACCAACUCUAUGCAUGCUCCUAUUUCAUCAGUGCGGCUUCAAUUUUGACGAAGCUCAGCAUCAAUGUCUUGAAGAACAAGAAUGAUGACCCUAACACGGUGGAGAUGCGUCGUAUUUUAGCAUCGCAAUUGCUCCGUAUUCCAAAGGCUUCAAGAGUUUUGGCCAUAAUAAUUCGUUGACUGUUAUUAUGGUUGGGAGAAAACUCUCUGUUAAUAGAUAAUAGAGAUGCGAGUUAUAUAUAUGGUUAAGGAGUACACUGAUAAAUAAGUCUGUACAGUAAUUUUUCCCCUAAUACCUGGCCUACUGAUGAAUUAGUAGAUGUAUCCUAUGAAAUUUUAAUAUAAUAUUUGGUAAUUUGUGUUGUGAUAAAUAUAAAUUGAUGUCCAUUUAAUAUAUUGUGAUUUUUUUUACAAUGUUGGGCGGUUAAUUUUUUUGAUACAAAAAUUUAGUUUUUCAAUAAAGACUAAACUUUAUGAAGUUUGAAAAAUAAAUAUUUUGUCCACGUAUAAAUAGUAAUAAAAUCUGAAGUAUAUGACACACAACAAUAAUAAAAUACUUUUCUCUUUUUUUACAUGCUACGAUAAUUAUAUAAACAUUCUUCUCUCUUUUUUAUAUAUACAUUACUACAUAUUAGUAAUAUAUAUAUGAAUCAUUUCUAUUAUAUUAAGAUAUUAAUUACGGUGAACAUUAAUAUUAGAUUUAUUUUUUUACAUUUUUUAUUUUAUAUUUAUUUUCUUUUUUUUAUUUAUUUAUUUUACAACACACUAUCAGCACGAGAUUCUGAUCAAAAUUUAGGAAGACUCAGGUAAUAAAUUUUUAUUAUGUCAAAUUAAAGCUCUCUUAUCUUAAAUUUAAUACUCUUGAUAUAUUUGAAAACAACUACUUAUCAUGGAUACUAGGUGCCGAAAUACAUCUUGAUUCAAUGGAUCUUUAGAGAUGCCAUUAAGGUUUCAAAAAGAUAAAGCCAAAGUUAUGAUCUUCUUUCGUCGUCACCUUGACGGAAGAUUGAAAAAUAAAUAUCUCCCACUAAAACAUUCUACAGAUCUGUGGAAAAACCUUGAAAAAAGGUAUAAUCAUAAAAAAAAUAGUGAUACUCCUCAAACCCAAUAUGAGUGGACACACUUACGUCUACAGGAUUUUAUAUAUAUCCAUAAAUAAAUACACAAUUCAGCAAUGUUCCGAAUUACCUCAUGAAUAAAAUUAUGUGGGAAAAAGAUAAAUUAUAAUGACAUAUUAGAAAAAAAUUUUUCGACCUUUUAUGACUCGAAUGUGCUCCUGCAACAACAAUAUCGAGAAAAAGAAUUUAAAAAAUAUUCUGAGCUAAUUUUUUGUCUUCUUGUUGCUGAAUACAACAAUGAGUUGUUUUUAAAAAAUCAUGAAGCGCGCCCAGUUGGCGUCGCCCCAUUUUCUAAAGCAAAUGCAGUAAAUCAUUACUUCAAAAGAGAUAAAUGGCAUGAUUUUGGUAACAAGAAAAAUUAUGUUCACAAGAAAGGAUCUCAUCAGAAGUGGGAUAAAGAAAAAAAAUAAUGGGCAAAAUAAACCAACAGUGGAUAAAUAUUUCCAUUGUGGUGGAAAGGGCCACGUAUCUGUCGUACCCCAAGGCACUUAGUUGAUCUUUAUUAAGCAUCUUUGAAAAAGAAUGAAAAAGGAAAGAAAACAAAUUUUGUUUCAAAUGAUGUUGCUAAAAAUUACACCACUCAUUAUGAAGUAUUUGAUUUCUUUGAGGAUCUUGAAGGAAAUAUUGGUCAUCUGAUCAAUGAUGAAAAAGUCUAAUAUGUGGGUUUGUUCAGUACUCAUGUAAAUAAAUAAUGUAAGAAACUUCUUGUUAAAUUUUAUUUUCUACGUGUUUGGAUUUUAAAUAUGGAUAAGUAUUAUUUUAGUCCCUAACGUUGAGGGUCAGAAUCAAAACCGUCCCCAACAUAAUUUUUUAUUUAGAAUCAUCCUUAACAUUUUUUUCGUAUUAAAAUCGUCUUUUUUAACUUUUUCUGGACAAAAAUACUCUCAACUACUAUCAGCACCUUUACUUCUACCACCACCAUUAGUACCUUUACUUCCACCACCACCAGCACCUUUACCUCCACCACCAAGAAAAACAACAUCAAUGAAAUCAACAUAAAUUCAACAAAUCAAGGAAUCGAAAAUUCAACAAAUCAACACAAAUUCAACAAAUUUAACAAUCAAAUCAACACAUAAUAACAUUAAAAUCAGAAAACAACAAAUCAAAAUCAGAAGCAGAAGCAGAGGCAGUCACAGAAGUAGAGAAAGCAAAGGCAGUCACAGAAUUAGAAAACUUAUCAUGCUCCUUGAUUUUAUUUCUGAUUAAAAGCAAGAAAGCAAAAACAGAAGCAAAUUCAAGAAUCGGGAAGCAAAAAGCAAGAAGUAGAAGCAAAAAGCAAGAAGCAGAAGCAAGAAAGCAAGAAGCAAAAGCAAAAAGCAAAAUCAGAAAAGUAAGAAAGUAGAAGCAAGAUGCAGAAGCAGAAAGCAAGAAGCAGAACCAAAAAACAAGAAGCAAGAAGCAAAAAGAGAGGGGCAAGGUGCAGAUGAAACGGCGAGGCGGCAAGGCGGCGAGGCGGCCGGCGAGGUGCAGCAGUGAGGUCAACGGCGGCAGUGGCUCGCGUCUCCUCUCUCCCUCGUAUUGGCUCAUGCAAUAUGAUAGAAGGCUCUAGAAGAGUUAUAAUUUUGUUUCCCAAAUGAACAAAAUUCAUAAUAAAUAAUGUACUAUUGUCUACCAAGUCUCUAAAGAACUUGUUGAGUUUUAAAGGUAUUUGCCAAAUGGAUAUCAUAUUGAAACAAUGAAUGGGGAAUAUCAUGAGUAAUUAUAUAUCACAACUCAUGAUUCAAAUAAAAAGACUAUAUUAAAAAUGUUACGCUCACUUUCAUCUGGGUUAUAUUAUACUAAAAUGAGUGUAAUUGAAUUACAUGCCAUUAUAAACCUGCAAAAGUUUACUAACCUAAAUGAAUUUAAAAAAUUUGGCAUGAUCGAUUGGGUCAUUCAGGAACAACCAUGAUGCGAAAAAUUAUUAAAAACUCCCAUGGACAUUCACUAAAGAACCAGAAGAUUUUUAAAUUUAGUAAAUUUUGUUGUGCUGCAUGUUCUCAAGGAAAACUAAUUUUAAGGCUAUCACCAGUAAAACUUAGAUUUGAGUCUCCUAAAUUUCUAGAAAGGAUUCAAGGCAAUAUAUGUGGACCUAUUAAUCCACCAUGUGGAUCUUUUAGAUAUUUUAUGGUCCUAAUAGACGCAUAUUUGAGAUGGUCACAUGUGUGCUUAUUGUCUUCUGCAACCUGGCGUUUACGAGAUUACUUGCGCAAAUUAUUCGAUUAAAAGCACAUUUCUCAGAAAAUCCAAUCAAAGUAAUUCUUCUUCACUCAUGAUCUUCAAAAUCAAUGAACAAUUGAUAUCCAAUAGAUCCGCUCAAGUGAUAAUCUGGCAGAUUUAUUUACAAAAUCACUUCCAAAAUCCUCCUUUAAAAAAUUGGUAUAUCAGAUUGGGAUGUGAUAAUUUCAAGAUAUAAAAUAAUGUUGGCAAAAGGAGGAGACUGUACUCUUUUUUCUUUGGUCAGGUUUUUCUCCAUAUUGAUUUUUUUUUUACAAAGUUUUUAAUGAGGCAGUCCUCGUCACAAAGGAUAUUGUACUAUUUUUUCUUUACUAAAAUUUUUUUUAUUGAAAUUUUCUUUAGUAAGAUUUUAACAAGACAUAAUCCUAAAUGGACAUCCAAUGAAAAAUGUUGCCCAUUUAAUACAUUGUGAUUUUCUUCACAAUAUUGGGCGGCUAACUUUUUUUAAUAGAAAAAUUUAAUUACUCAAAAAAGACUAAAUUUUAUGAAUUUGAAAAAUAAAUAUUUUGUACCAUUAAUACUAGAUUUAUUUAUUUAUGUUUUUUUAUUUUUUAUUUUUUCUUUAUUUAUUUAUUUUACACCAAUUUGAUUAGUAAUGCAACAUUAUUAUUGAAUAGUAGUUAGUUUCACAAAAUUACUUGAUCUUAAUAUUUUUUCGAAUAUGCAGAUACUAUUUGAAAGAGGAAGUAUUUAAGAAUGCAACUUAAUUAUAUUUGGUAUUAAACGAAAUUUAAUUUUAAUCUAUUAUUAAUAUAAAGUAAUUUUAUUCAUGAAUUCAAUUAAUAACGUUUAUCUUUUAAAAAAUUAUUAUUUUUAUUGAAUGUAUAAAUAAUUAUCCAAGAAUAUAAAUGUAAGUAUAUGAUUGAAUAAAAUAUUUUACACUGAUAAUACAUUAAACUCAAAAACUCAUCAUUGAGCAUGUAUUUUGAUAAGAUGGGGGCGAAAACAUAUUUAUUUGAUAAUAAAUUGAUAACUGUUGUCUAAUUAUAUUUUCUCUUAAAUAAAAUAAUAUGACUAAAAAUAAAAAUAUUCUCUGAUACAGUUUUAUUGUUUAGUCAAAUGNNNNNNNNNNNNNNNNNNNNNNNNNNNNNNNAAUUUAUAAUUUAAUCUUUGUUAAAUUCUAAAAUAAUUUUAAUAAUAAAAAACACGUGAAUAAUUGGUACACAUAAUCAAGGUGCACAUACAAAUAAAACUUUAUUGAGGUUGAAUAAAACUUGGCCAAGUAAGAGAAAUAAUUUUUCUUAAAUGGUUGAUAAGAGUGAUAAACUGAUAAUAUAGAGUUGCAGCAUGUGGGAAAUUAGAUAAAAUAGGGAAUAAAUAUUUAAUCCGGUUCUUAUUUAUUUUUUAGAAGGAUAAAGUAAUUUCUGUCUAAAAAAAAGGUACAUUCUGAUUCCUAUCUUUAUAUUUUAUGAGCUAUGACGGUUUUUUUGUGCCUUUCAACGUUAAAAACAAAUAGAAUAAGUAUACAUAUCACUUAACGGUAAUGAGUUGGUUGUUAGGUGUCCAUUAAAUACUAAGUUGUCAAUUUAAAAAUGGACAGGGGUUGAUCUAUCCUUGCCUCCCAAACAAAAACGCUGUUGUUUUAAGUGGGAUGGGAGGUUCAAAUGAUACGCUGCUUCACUAUAUACUUUGAAAAUGUAUCACUGUGUUCAACUGUAAACCCUAAGACGGCAUGGUUGAUAGUAAAGAACGUGGGUCGACAUCAAAUCGGUGAAGUGGGAGAGUUGAAAACGAAUCAGGUUGGAGUUUGAAAGUUAUUGGGAGUGUGGAAUCAAUGUGGAAGAAAAAGAGGGUUGUCCUAGAGUGUAAUUGUGGAAUUUAUGCAAUUUUAUUCAUGUCCGGAACCGAUAUAAACCCAAACAGACUAUUCUUUCGAUGCUCAUACUUCAAGGUAGGUUUAUGAACAAUUAAAAUUUUGUUCACUUUGUUUUUCAUUGAUGCUCAUAUUUCAAGGUAGGUUUAUCAAGAAUUUCAAUUAUGUUCACUUUGUUUUUCAUUAGAUUUAUAAUAAAAAAUAUUAUUUUGUAGACUCCAACACUUCAUUACAAAUACUUUUGUUGGCUUAAUGAUUAUGUUGCAUCAUUCAAUGAGGAUGCUGCAAAGACUCUUUUGUUCGGAGGUUUGAAGCUGAAUCAGAAUCAUAAAGAAGGUCAUUCUUCUGCGGAUGAUAACAAAAUUAGAAAGUUAGAGAAAAGAUUGGUUGGCUUAAAAAUUCAUUUGAAGAAAGUUAGAUUUAAUUUUAGUCAAAUUAGAUGCACUCAUGUUGAAUGUGUUAUGUUGGCAUUUGUUGUUGGAAUUGUAGUUGAAAACCUGUUUAAUGGUGUAGUUUAGAGAGAUCAAAUGUUGUUUCUGGAGUAUUGUGAAACAUGGUGAUUAUGGUUAAGUUGUUUAGACUAUAACAUUUGUUGCUAUUGAUCACUUUUGAUGCAUGAAUAUAAAUAUAAUUAACCUGCUUUUGUUUUUAUAUGUUCGUUUAUUAUUCAAUUUUAAAGAAUGCAGUAGUAUACAUAAUUUUGUAAUAAAAUAAGGCAUUAUAAAUUUGUUGAAUAAAGUAAGAAGCCAUCUGCUGAAAGUUGAAACUUAACACAUGAUACCAUAAUAAUAGAAUAAGGGAAUCAUCAUUACAGCCCUUACUAAUAUAGUUACCCAAAAGAGUAUUCAAUCAACUAUACCCACUUAAAACAAUAGCGUUUUUGUUUGAGAGGCAGGGACAGAUCGACUCUUUUCUAUUUUUAAAUUGACAGCUUGACACUUAAUGGAUACCUGACAGCCAACUCAUCACUGUUAAGUGACACGUAUACUUAUUUCAUUUGUUUUUAACGUCGGAAGGCACAGAAGAACCGCCAUGUCUUACAAAAUAUAAAAACAGAAGUCGGAACGUAUUUUUUUUUUAACAGAAAUCACUUUAUUUUUCUUAAAAAUUGAUAGGGACUGAAUUGAGUGUUUACUCUAAAAUGGGUGGGAUGAUAUGAUAUAAAGAGUAAUUGAGAGACUUAUUCAAAGAAAAUGAGUUAGUGAUGAUCACUUAAUUAAAUCUUCAAAAUUUUCCUAUAAAUAUAAUGGUAAUGCUAAGAAGAAAAAAAAAGAUUAAAAUUUACAUUAUUGAAUGUUUAUUAAUUAUUACAAUAAUUAAUAAAUAUUAAAUAACAUGAGUUAUGAUUAUUUUCUUUUGGUUAACAAAUAUUUUCGUAAAUCGCUUUCUAUAUAAUAAUGGUCAAAAGCUAUACAAAUUAAACAGAUAGACCAAUAAGAACGAAACGAACAAUAAUAAUUAACGAAUUACAAUUAAUUAACCAAAUAAUGAAUAAUCUUUGAUCAACAAUAACAAUCUCUGCUGCUGCAAGCUUAUUCCCACUUCCACAUAUGCAUGUACGGAUGUACCUUCAACAAAAAUAUUGAAAGGAUGAAUAAUAUUUAGUUAUCAUCUUCUUAACAUCAUGCUUAAUAUAUAACGAUGAGAUAAUAAUAUAUAUACUUUAAGUAGCUGUUUUGUUUCCUAGUGAUCAUGUGGGUUUUGUGGUCAUGUUAGGCGUAUAGGCCAUGUCUUCAGUUUUCGCUGCUCUGUUGUUGCUGCUGCUGCCGCCGUCGCUGCGAGCAGGGACAGAACUUAGUUAAAAUAAGGAGGCCAUGGUUUUCCAAACUUUUGAUAAAAAAAUUAGUAAUACUUUUUCGAAAAAUAAAAAAUUAGUUCAAUUGAUUCAAAUAUUUUGCUAUGAUUUAAAAUACCAAAGUUCAAUCUUCAUCUCUUGCUUUUAUUGCAUAGUAAUUUUUAGUUUUAAAUAUUAAAAACAUGUUGGAUUUGGACUGAACUGAAUGUAUUCGCAUUUCGCAACUCUCUAUUCAAUAAGCAACACUAUCUCUACCUUUGAGUUCAAAUAUAAAAAAUUAGGUUUUUUUAUUUAUGUAAUUUAAUAUUAUUUUAUAUUUUACUGUUUAUUUAAUUUAAUUUUUUAUAUGAUAAAAAAUAUUAGAAUAUUCAAUAAGUAUUGAUAUUAUUGUAUUUGUAUAAAUUGAUAAAAAAAUUCAAUAAAUAUUAUAAAUUUUAAUAUUUGUAAUUCUAACUUCUUUUUUACAUAUUUUAGAGGAUAUAUAUUCAAAUUUUUAUAUAAAAUAAUCAUGAAAAAUUAAAGAAUUGAUGCAUUUUUUAAGAAAAAAGCUAAUAUUCAAGAAGGAGAACAUAUAACAUUUACAAUAUCAACACAUGUAGAUAGUUCUUCUACUUUAAUGAAUCACGAAAAAAGUGAGAUACAACUUCCAAAAGUUCAAAGAGUUGCAUUUGAUGAAUUUGACCUUAAUUUUUUGGAACGAGACCCUGAAAAACGGAUUUAAAUUUGGCAAUAUCACCCAAAUCAGAGAGAUGAUGUUAGACGAGUUUAUCUUAAAUGGGAUUCAUAUCAAAAGCAUCUUGAUAAUUAUUUUCUAUCUGGCCCCCAAAAUUUUGUUUCAAGCUCCGCCACUGACUGCGAGACUGCUGGUUGCUACUGCUAUUGCUGCUGCUGCGAGACUGCUGGUUGCUGCUGCGGGACUGCCGGGUGGAUCGCGCAGGGAUAUGAGCUGGUCCACAUUUUCGGGUUUAGUUUGUCGAUUCAUUGUGAGAAAUGUAAUGUAAUUAUUAGUAAAAUGUUGUGAUCAAUGGACUAAUUAACACUGUAUUUGAUCUGCCAUUUCGUAUUUAUAGACGUUUUUGAUGCAUGCAUGUGUACAUUAGGGUACAUUUACAUGUAUGAUAUAUAUGAGCGUGUUAACAUUUGUAAACUUUGCAUGAAAUUUAACUUGUAAAAACAUGAUAUUUUGAUAUUGUUGUAUUCUUAUAUUAAUUGUAUAGUUCAGGUGCGUUGUUGGGAAUUUUCCUUAGCUUUCUUGAGAAAACUAAAAUAAUUAAGGAAACUCAUGGUAGCUAAGAGAGGCGUGUACGGUCAUUACUUUUAUUUUUUAUUUUUUUGUUGAAAGAGAUUACUGUUUCUUCAUGCUGAUGAGCAUUGCAUGAGAAAUGCUACUGCAUUUCGACGGAACUGCAGAGAAAUGCAUGGAAUACUCCUCUUUUUUUUUUUUUUAUAAGAAACUCAAUGACAAUAUAUAAUAACUGUAAAAGAAACGGUGGUGAGUAAUUUAUACAAGAAUUUCAGUGUCAUUUGCACGAAAGUGGAAAUAAGCCAUGGCGUGCGGCUGCGUGUUUGAAGUUGGAAGGGCGAAUUGUGAAGGUAUUUACAGUAACGUGUAUGUAGAAUGAGUAGUUGGACAUGAAUUAAAAAAGAUAGAUGAAUAGUCAACAUUAGAGAAAUUACCAGAAGUCAAUGGAAUAUUUGUAUAAUGUGUAUAAUGAAGGUUUAGGAAGUAUUAAAUAUAUAAUCAUUAGUGUUAUCUCUUCUCAUCAGAGCUGAAACUUUUGGGAUGAGUAGUAUCAUAACAUGGUAUUAGAACGCUAGAUCCGAAAGGCCAAAAGUUCGAUUUUUGGUGAACUCCAAAAUCAGUUUAAGUUAUUAUUCCUAGUACUCGGAUAGUUAUUCUAGAUAGUAUGAGGGAUGUUUAUUUUAUAACUCAAUAACUCAUUGUACACAUUAUACAAAUAAUCUAUUGUCUCCCUAACGAGACUCUCAACAUUAUUUAUUAAAUUAUUACUAUUGUUAUAUUUUCUUUGAUUCUUCUAUAAUUCUGUUACUUACUUCUGGGGCCCGGCCCGGCCAUAUUAAUAGUUAAAUUGAAGCGGUAUGCAGUCGGAUCAUAACAAUAGAAAGUGUAUUACAGAUUUUUUGACGGUGUAUUGUAAUGUAAUUCUUCAACAAUUUGACUGGGUAUAGAUUUUUAGAAGAUAAUUUAUCCCUUUUUUUUAAAAAAAGAAAUUGUUAGUGCAAAUACAAUAUUUUAUCAUUUUUUUUAAAUAAGACAAAAAAAUACUUGACAAUAAUAUUUAUUGAUAGAAAAAAAAUCGAGAUAUUCACUCCUCUUCAUUUCCCGCCUUGGCCUUGGACGGUGGCUGCCAAUGCUUGGUUUAAUCAAACCAGUGACUUGUAUUAUGUCUAUUUAUUCACUAUUUUGUUUAAAAAUAACAAAAUAUUAUAUAAAUCUAUAUAUAAACGAUAUUUUAGAAAAAAUGGUACCAUGAGGUGAUAACUUUAAGAAACACAAUCAUUUAAUAUUUUUUUAUCAUAUAAUCAAUUUAUAUUAACAAUUAAAAAUAACAACGAAAUAAAUCUUCUAUUAAUCGUGAUUUUUAUACAUAUUUUGAUAACGUGAAUCAACGGAUUUUUCUCUUGAUAAAAAUUAAAAAAAUUGUGUUUGUUGUUAAUUCAAUCUAUUUAUUUGACACCAAUUAAUUGAUAAGAAACGAGUAAUGUUAAAAAAAACGAGAUUAAAAGUAUAACAUAGUCGAUUGAAUUGCACACUAGAAUAUGAAUUUUUUCAUAUUCAAUCGAUUGAAAAUAUAACACAAUUAAUUGAAUUUCACAUGAUAAUAUAGAUUUUUUUUAUUCAAUCGAUUAAAAGUGUAACACAAUCGAUUGAAUUGGACAAUUAAAAAUAUAACACAAUCAAUUGAAUUUUGCACGGAAAUAUAAAAUUUUUUUAUUCAAUUAAUUAGAAGGAUAACACAAUUAAUUGAAUUGAGUAUUGCGCUAUAUAUCAUGCCUUCCUUUUUUUGAACAGCCUUCCUUAUUUUUAACAAAAGUUUCCAUUUUUACAUGACUUCUUUUCUCUCUCUAAAACUAAAAAACUUCUCUCUUCAUAGUAUGUGUUAUUAUAUCUUUAGAGACAUGCGAAUUAAUAUGUACAAAUAAACGAAGUUUAAAAAAUAUUUUGUUAGCAUUACUAAUGUAUUAAUAACAGGUAUGAUAAAAAAUUUUGUCAUUAUCAAAAUAGAUGUCCAAGUGAUAGAUUGUGCAAUUUUCAACAGAAAUUAUCAUUAGAUAUCAGUGUUUAUUCUCUUAAAUGAGAACAUAUAUAUAAACCAUAAAAUUGUAAUAUAAAUGUUAUAUAUGUUGUUAAGGAAAAAUUAUAUAUACCAAAGAAUAGACAAAAAAAAAACUUACAAAUUUUAAAUUAGUAGUGGGUUGCAUAAGUUUAUAAAUAUAGUAUUGCAUCUUGUUUAAAUCUAUCUUAGACAUUUACCUACAAACACUAAUAGAUUUAUAUAACUGUUAGAUAUUAAUUGGUACUAAAUUUUAAUAUUAAAAUAACCAUCUGUACACUAGUAAAAUAAACAUCCGAUAUAUCUAUUGUUUACCUUGUUUAAUAUUUUCAUUGUUCACCUAUACUUUUCCAUUCCAUAAACAUUAAACAAUGCAUCUAACCGGAGAAUUAGGCAUCAGCAAGAAAAGAGAAGAACUGAAGCCGUGCAUGCGUGGUCCCCGUUGUGAAGAAAUCGCAGAUAAAUGCUUAGCUGUACAUGGAGACAAGGUUGCUCUCUUUGUAUGCUUAUCAUGUUAUAGAGAUGCUUUGCGAGGUGUAACAAAGGAAGGGUGCCAUAGCCAUGCAUGCUGAAGAGUGUCCCAAAUGCUCAGUGUACCAACUCACUUUCUCCGACGUGUCCCUUCCUUCACCCUCCUCUCGCCCCCUAUAAAUCACCUCGCUUCUCAUUCUCCUUCAUCACAACCACAGCAAUAACAAUAAUAGCAGCCAUGGCUAAGCUUCUUGAGCUUUCUUUUUGCUUUUGCUUUCUAGUUCUGGGAGCUAGCAGCAUCUCCUUCAGGCAGCAGCCGGAGGAGAAUGCGUGCCAGUUCCAGCGCCUCAAUGCGCAGAGACCUGACAACCGCAUUGAAUCGGAGGGCGGUUACAUUGAGACUUGGAACCCCAACAACCAGGAGUUCGAAUGCGCCGGCGUCGCCCUCUCUCGCUUAGUCCUCCGCCGCAACGCCCUUCGUAGGCCUUUCUACUCCAAUGCUCCCCAGGAGAUCUUCAUCCAGCAAGGUUAUUAGUUAUUACUACUUUUUCAUAUUGUUAUUGUCAAUGAUUGAAUUUAAUUAUUUGACGGUAAAAAUAAUUUUGUACACUCACUAAACGUACUAACAUUUUACAACAAUUUACGAUUGAGACACAAAAAAAAAAGGCAUAUCUGUAUUUGAGAAUUUUAUUUUUUUUCCAUGAUCUUUGUUUGUUAAUUUCAUUUUGAAUGAACACAUACAGGAAGGGGAUACUUUGGGUUGAUAUUCCCUGGUUGUCCUAGCACAUAUGAAGAGCCUGCACAACAAGGACGCCGAUAUCAGUCCCAAAGACCACCAAGACGUUUGCAAGAAGAAGACCAAAGCCAACAGCAACAAGAUAGUCACCAGAAGGUGCACCGUUUCAAUGAGGGUGAUCUCAUUGCAGUUCCCACCGGUGUUGCUUUCUGGCUGUACAACGACCACGACACUGAUGUUGUUGCUGUUUCUCUUACUGACACCAACAACAACGACAACCAGCUUGAUCAGUUCCCCAGGGUAUAUAUAUGCUCAAAUCUCAUUCGUUAUUUUUGGCAUGUGCAUAUAUCAUGAAUAUUGAGUAUUAGUCUAUUAUUAUUUCUUAUGAAUUCUCAUCAAUAAACCAUGCCACAUUUAUAUAUAAAUGAUCCGUGACAAUUAAUAAUACAUAACAGAGAUUCAAUUUGGCUGGGAACCACGAGCAAGAGUUCUUAAGAUACCAGCAACAAAGCAGACAAAGCAGACGAAGAAGCUUACCAUUAAGCCCAUACAGCCCUCAGCCUGGACAAGAAGACCGUGAAUUUAGCCCUCAAGGACAGCACGGCCGCAGAGAACGAGCAGGACAAGAACAAGAAAACGAAGGUGGAAACAUCUUCAGCGGCUUCACGUCGGAGUUCCUGGCACAAGCCUUCCAGGUUGACGACAGACAGAUAGUGCAAAAUCUAAGAGGCGAGAACGAGAGUGAAGAACAGGGAGCCAUUGUGACAGUGAAGGGAGGCCUCAGAAUCUUGAGCCCAGAUAGAAAGAGUCCCGACGAAGAAGAGGAAUACGAUGAAGACGAAUAUGCUGAAGAGGAGAGGCAACAAGAUAGAAGGCGUGGCAGGGGAAGCAGAGGCAGCGGCAAUGGCAUUGAGGAGACCAUCUGCACCGCAACUGUUAAAAAGAACAUUGGUAGAAACAGAUCCCCUGACAUCUACAACCCUCAAGCUGGUUCACUCAAAACUGCCAACGAGCUCAACCUUCUAAUCCUUAGGUGGCUUGGACUUAGUGCUGAAUAUGGAAAUCUCUACAGGGUUUGUACUUUCUCUUUUUCUAUCUAUUUUUUUAGCAUACUACACUAUUAACAAAAUUUAUCAUUGUUAGUAAGAUUUGGCUAAUACCUUAAACAUUAAGUAUUAAAUUCUAAAUUUUAAAUACUAAAUACUAAUGGUAUAAGAAUAUAAUGUUACUUAACUAUCGAUUAAUAUCGAUAAAAAGUAUUGAUACUGAUAUUUUUCUUUUCUUGUAGUGUUACAUUAGGCAUUCGAUUUGGUUAUCUAUUUACCCAUUGAAAUGUGAUUGCAGAAUGCAUUGUUUGUCCCUCACUACAACACGAACGCACACAGCAUCAUAUAUGCAUUGAGGGGACGGGCUCAUGUGCAAGUGGUGGACAGCAACGGCAACAGAGUGUACGACGAGGAGCUUCAAGAGGGUCACGUUCUUGUGGUGCCACAGAACUUCGCCGUGGCUGGGAAGUCCCAGAGCGAGAACUUCGAAUACGUGGCAUUCAAGACAGACUCAAGGCCCAGCAUAGCCAACCUCGCCGGUGAAAACUCCUUCAUAGAUAACCUGCCGGAGGAGGUGGUUGCAAAUUCAUAUGGCCUCCCAAGGGAGCAGGCAAGGCAGCUUAAGAACAACAACCCCUUCAAGUUCUUCGUUCCACCUUUUCAGCAGUCUCCGAGGGCUGUGGCUUAAAAACGACCAGUAUCUUUUGCAAGCGUGUUAUCCACUACAUACUUUUUGCCACAAAUGAAUAAUAUAAUAAUAAGAAGAAUAAUGUAGUUUUAAUUUUUAGUAUGAAUAAGAAUACAAAGGGGCAUUGAUGCCUUUUUGUUUAAGAUCGGAAUGUAACAUAUGUGCAAUGAGCAGAUAUGGAGAAAACCUUUUGCGGGAAAAACAUGAAUAAUAAAAGAAGUUAUGGUCUCACGCACGCCACAUUUGUCUUUGUAUCCCCCUUUCUUUGUGAUAAAACAAACUUGAAAAGAAUAUCAACAACACAGCAUGCUCUAACAUUUUGAUGUAACUCCGAAAAUCCGAGUAAUUGUUGAGGGUGAGCUAUAAUGAGCUAGGAUUUCUAUUCAAGCACUAUAAGAUCGUGACAAUUCAAUUUUGACAUGCAUGGUAUAUAUAGCUUGCUUAUGAUCAUUGAUGACUUGCUCAUGUAAAUCCAAUUUUUACAAUUUAG